rnacentral:lncRNA from 1 species
GUCGCCACUGCUUCAGCGCAUGAAUGACAGUAGCAAGUUCGAGGUCGUGAACUGGGUAGUUCUCUUCGUGAGGGCGCAAUUGCCGAGAGGCAUAAGCAAUCACUUUGCGGUCUUGCAUUAGGACACAGCCUAAUCCUUGACGGGAAGCAUCGCAGUAAAUGACGAAGUCCUUCUUAGUAUCAGGUGGGGCUAGAACUGGGGCAGAAGUCAACUUGUCUUUGAGUGCCUGGAAACUUUCCUGACAUUUGUCUGUCCAUUGGAACUUGACGCCCUUAUGUAACAGGUUAGUCAGAGGCCUGGCGAUCUUAGAGAAAUUCUCGACAAAUCGACGGCAAUAGCUGGCGAGACCGAGAAAACUUCUGACUUGCUUAACGUUCUUGGGAGGAGUCCAAUCAAGAAUAGCCUGAACUCGCUCGGGGUUGACGGCAAUACCAUCCUUAGAGAUGACAUGCCCAAGAUAGGUUACUUCCGGUAGCCAGAAUUCACAUUUGGAGAACUUGGCAUAUAGUUGAUGCUCUCGUAGCUUUUCCAGUACAAGUCGAAGAUGUUCAGCAUGUUCUUCUUCGUUCUUGGAAAAUACCAGGAUAUCAUCCAGAUAAACCACGACGAACUUGUCGAGGUAAUCCAUGAAUAUAUAGUUCAUCAGACGAGAGAAGGUGGCUGGAGCAUUGGUUAAACCGAAAGACAUGACGGUGUACUCGUAUGAACCAUAGCGAGUCACGAAGGCGGUCUUUGGGAUAUCCUCUUCGCGAACACGGAUCUGGUGGUAGCCCAACCUCAAGUCGAGCUUAGAGAACACUGACGAACCCGCCAGUUGAUCAUACAGAUCAUUGAUCCGAGGAAGAGGGUAUUUAUUCUGAAUGGUAGCUUGGUUUAUAGGACGGUAGUCUUGAACUAACCGGUUUGUCCCAUCCUUCUUCUUGACAAAGAGAGAAGGUGCUCCCCAAGGAGAGCAACUUGGGCGAAUGAAUCCUUUGCGAAGAGAUUUGUCGAUUUCCUCCUUAAGCUCAAGGAGUUCAUGCGACAGCAUUUUGUAGGGUCGCUUGGCUAUAGGAGUGGUGCCUGGUUUCAAGUCGAUGAUGAAUUCGACAGCUCUAGCAGGGGGAAUCCCUGGAAGUUCUUCAGGGAAGACGUCGAGGAAUUCACUCACGACGGGAAUGUUUUCAAUGCCCUCGAGUGGUGCAGCAUUCUAUGCAUUCAAUGCAUAGAGCCUUGCCUCGGCAUUUUGCACCAGGUGGGCUUGGUAAGUAACUAUCUCAUCUGAAGGGUGUAGCAGAUGGACGGUCUUAGUGGUGCAAACGAUUGAAGCAGUAUGCGCUUUUAGGCAAUUCAUUCCUAGAAUGAGAUCAAUGCUACAGGACUUCAGUACGAUGGGAGAGACAAGAAAUUCCAGUCCUUUGAUUUCGACGGGGACGUCGUUGCAAAUCAUGGAGGUUCGACAUUGGCCCGCAGGGGUGUGUACUAAUAGUGAAGCAUUCAUGUCUUCGCCUUUAAUGCCAUGCAUGAAUGCAAAAUCUUCUGACAUGAAUGAAUGUGAUGCACCUGUAUCAAAUAAAACGGAUGCUGGUGCUGAAUUUACGAGGAGUGUACCCAUCACAGUAGCAGGCUGGUCUUGAGCUUCGUUGAGAUCAACGUGGUUGGCAUGAGCACGACCAUAAGACUUAGCAUUGUUGUUGCGGGGCUGGUUGUUACCACGGCCAGUUGCUGGAAGGGCCAGUUGAUUCUGGUUCUGGUUGCAUUCUCUAGCACGGUGUCCUGGUUGACCACACCUGAAGCACAAGCCAUUAUUGGGAGUGGGAACAGGGGCUUGGGAUGGUGGAGCUGGAAGUCUUGACUGCCUAGAUCGUGGUGGAGGCAGACGAGGGGCAGCAUAGGUCUGCCUUGGGGCAGAUGCAUUUGGACGGUACAUGCUGUUCGGGAUCCAUAUCUUACGCUUCUGUGAGGGCGAGCCCGAAGAUGAGCCCGUGUCACGGUUGCGCCUGUGAGAGCUCUGGUAUUCCUGCAGACCAGUUUCGACAUUGAUGGCCUUGUUCACCAAGGUGGCGAAAUCAGCAAAGUCAUGCACUAGAAGUGCGAGCUUGAUGUCAGCUUGAAGGCCAUCACGGAACUUCUCCUGUCUGCGUGCAUCAGUUGCAAUGUCCUCCUCAGCAUAGCGAGACAAAUCCAGAAACUCCCGUUGAUAAGAUUCAACAGUUUUGUUGCCUUGGGUGAGGUUGCGGAACUCACGCUUCUUCCGGUCCAUGACUCCUUGAGGAAUGAAGUGGGCACGGAAAGCAGCUUGGAAGUCUGGCCACGUGAUGAUUGUCCCAGCUGGCAGAGUACGCCUGUGGCUGUCCCACCAUUGAGCUGCGGGUCCCUUCAGAAAGAAGGAAGCAAAGUUGACAUAGCUGGCAGGGGCUACAUCGGCAGACUCCAUCUCAUAGGUGAUGUCACGGAGCCAGUCAUCAGCAUCCAGAGGCUGAGUUGAGCUGCGGUACACAGUUGGGUUCAGGCGCAUGAAAUCCUGCAGAGUUACUGGGGUUGGUUGCUGGUCCAUAUUGGGGUGAGGAAACUGAGCCAUCAUAUUUUCCAUGAAUUGGCGGUUCAGUUUGAACUGCCAGAUCAUACCAGCCAUGUACUCAGGUGGUGGUGGGGCAUCGCCACCACGACCAUGACCACCUGGUCUAACCAUCCUGCUAAUAUAUAACAGGGGUAGUUCAGCAUUGAGAAAGUUUGCAAAGACAAGAAUCAUUCAUGAUAAAACAUGCAUAAUGAAAGGAGCACGAUAGCUACUACAUAGUAGUCGGCAUAACUUACAAAAGGGGUCAUGCAUAGAGUUCAGCACAUAGAGUUCAGUACAUAGACUAAAACAUCAUAGGCGGCACACAGGCUCGCGGCGAAUGCAUCUAACUCUACAAGCAAGCCCACAUCAGUCCCAAGAGGUACUGUGGAGGUAAUCGUAGCCCGACAGCUGGUAGUGAGGCAACGGAUAGCCCUCCACGUCAGCAGACUGGGGGCCGCGGAUACUCAGGUGUAGAGCCCGACGCUCAGGUGGCAGAAGAGGACCAAGUGCGGGAGAGUAGCCUCCCACCUCUGGCCAACCGACACCGUGGGGCAUCACGGUCCUGGCUGGGUAGAUCGCAGUACGCGGUAGCUGUCCAGAUCGGACAAAGGGGUGCAGCAGCGUCAGAGCACGGUAAAGGUGCUGACGGGUAGUGUACAUCUCGUGGCGAAGAGCUCGGUUAGCUCGAUCCAGCCCAUCAGCAUGCAGAACCAGGUUCUGAUGGUAGAAGGGCUCUCGGGUGACAGUGGAGUAGGCAGCAGUAUAGUAUCCCUCCGCACCAACAUCAGAUGCGAUAGCAAUGUGCCUGAAGGGGGAGGUGUCCAACUCCCGAUACUCUCCACGAAGACGUGUCAGAGCAGCAUAGGCAGCAUCGUGGACAGCCAUAUCGAUGGUCACACCAACACCAUGUGCGGUGUGCAGCACAGUAGUGGAGUCAUACUCCCGCGAGUAGAGGUGGACGAUGGCACGAUACUGCUCCUGGUUAAAGUCCUGGUACUCCUCGUAGACGGUGUACUCAGGGUGCCAGCGAUAACCCAGAUAGGUCAUCAUCUCAGCUAGCAUAGCCGGUGAUCCCGAGGCACCAAUGGCCGUCGUGUGGCGCACGACCUGCCUCGUGGGUUCCAUCUGAAAGCAAAGACGUUUCAAAGGAGUCAAAUGACAGUGUGUGAAUUGUUCAAAAUACUAUUCUAAGAAACAACUAUGGCUUAUCCAACUUUGGGGUGAAUGCGGUCACGGGAUCCUAGUGUUAGAGUUAGUAAAUUCGUUUAACCCGAGUAGAAGAGAGUUCAGAGUCCUAGAGUAAGGGUCGAGGAGUAAAAGAUCCUAGUAUCACCCAAUCGCGACGUGGGCCCGUAAGACACACAACCAUGUUAGUAAAAGUUUUGUAAUGUCUAGACUCGACUUCGGCCAAGGAGUGUGGAAAGGGGGAUUCCUACAAGCAGUCGGCUCUGAUACCAACUUGUGACGCCCCCGAUUUGACCGUCCACUAAUCAUGCACGCAAAUGUGUACGAUCAAGAUCAAGGACUCACGGGAAGAUACCACAACACAACUCUAAAACAUAAAUAAGUCAUACAAGCAUUAUAAUACAAGCCAGGGGCCUCGAGCGCUCGAAUACAAGUGCUCGAUCACGGACGAGUCAGCGGAAGCAACAAUAUCUGAGUACAGACAUAAGUUAAACAAGUUUGCCUUAAGAAGGCUAGCACAAACAGGGAUACAGAUCGAACGAGGCGCAGGCCUCCUGCCUGGGAUCCUCCUAACUACUCCUGGUCGUAGGUGUCGUCGUCGACGGUGGCGUCUGGCUCCUGGACUCCAGCAUCUGGUUGCGACAACCAGAUAGAAAGGAAAGGGGAAAAGAGGGAUAUAAGCAACCGUGGUACUCAUCCAAAGUAAUCGCAAGCAAUGAGCUAUACUACAUAUGCAUGGGUAUAUGUGUAAAGGGGCAUAUCAGUGGACUGAACUGCAGAAUGCCAGAAUAAAAUGGGGAUAGCUAGCCCUGUCGAAGACUACGCUUCUGGUCAUCUCCAUCUUGCAGCAUGUAGAAGAGAGUAGAUGGAAGUCCUCCAAGUAGCAUCGCAUAGCAUAAUCCUACCCGGCGAUCCCCUCCUCGUCGCCCUGUUAGAGAGCGAUCACCGGGUUGUAUCUGGCACUUGGAAGGGUGUAUUUUAUUCAGUAUCCAGUUCUAGUUGUCAUAAGGUCAAGGUACAACUCCGGGUCAUCCUUUUACCGAGGGACACGGCUAUUCGAAUAGAUAAACUUCCCUGCAGGGGUGCACCACAUAACCCAACACGCUCGAUCCCAUUUGGCCGGACACACUUUUCUGGGUCAUGCCCGGCCUCGUAAGAUCAACGCGUCGCAGCCCCACCUAGUCUCAACCGAGAGGUCAACACGCCGGUCUAACCCUAUGCGCGCAGGGGUCUGGGCCCAUCGCCCUAUGCACACCUGCACGUUGCGAGGGCGGCCGGAAGCAGACCUAGCCUAGUGGCGUUCCAGUCCAAUCCGGCGCGCGCCGCUCCGUCGCUGACGUCAAAAAGAGCUUCGGCUGAUACCACGACGCCGGGAUACCCAUAACUACUCCCGCGUAGAUGGUUAGUGCGUAUAGACCAAAUGGCCAGACUCAGAUCAAAUACCAAGAUCUCGUUAAACGUGUUAAGUAUCCGCGAACGCCGACCAGGGCCAGGCCCACCUCUCAUCUAGGCGGUCUCAACCUGCCCUGUCGCUCCGCCACAAAGAUCCACUUGCGGGUACUCCUACGAGCCGACCCGACUUUAGUCAUCACAUGUGUCAUGUAUAUAGUAUAGAAGCAUAUACCCGUGAUCACCGCCCAGGUGAUCACGGCCCGAUAGUAUAGCAUAGCAGACGGACAAGAAUGUAGGGCCACUGAUGGAAAACUAGCAUCCUAUACUAAGCAUGUAGGAUUGCAGGUAAAGGUAACAACAGUAGUAGCAAGGAUAGGCUAUGCAUCAGAAUAGGAUAUCGGAAAGCAGUAACAUGCUACACUACUCUAAUUCAAGCAGUAUAGAGAAGAAUGGGCGAUAUCUAGUGAACAGGGGGGGCUUGCCUGGUUGCUCUGGCAAGUAGGAGGGGUCGUCAACUCCGUAGUCGAACUGGGCAGCAGCAGUGUCAGUCUCGUAGUCUACCGGAGGGAAGAGGGGGAAGAAACAGUAAAUACAAUGCAAACAUAAACAUGACGAUGCGUGACAUGACAAUGAGUAGUGCGAGGAGUGUCCUAACGCGACAGUAGGUGGUACCGGCGAAGGGGGGAACAUCCGGGAAAGUAUUCCCGCUGUUUCGCGUUUCACACAGACGGACCGGAGGGGGAAAGUUGCGAGUUCGAUAGGUUCGGGAGGUGUGGUGCACGAACGGACUGCGUUUCCGGAUUCGUCUCGUCGUUCUGAGCAACUUUCAUGUUGAAAAUAUUUUAAUCCGAGUUACGCAUUAAAAGAUAUGAUUUUCUAAAGAAUUUAUUAAUUUCUGGAAUUUAAUUAAUUAUUUAAUUUAAUUCGAAAAUGGAUUUAUGACAUCAGCAUGAUGUCAUGCUGACGUCAGCAGUCAACGUUGACCGUUGACCUGGUCAACCUGACAGGUGGGUCCCACCUGUCAGUGUCUGUUAGCCAAUUAACUACUGUUUAGUUAAAUUAAUUAACUAAUUAGAUUAGUUUAAACAAGAUUAAUUAACUUAAUUAAUUUAGUUAAUUAAUUAAUUAAAAUUAUUUUUAUUUUUGUUUUCUUUCUUUAUUUAUUUAUUAAUUAAGUUAUUAUUAUUAUUAUUUAUUAUUUAUUAUUUAUUUUUUUUUAUUUUAUUUUAUUUUAUUUUUUUAUUCGUUCUGUGCGUGGGCCCCGGCUGUCAUUGGGCCAGGGGGGUUCGAGCCCAGGGGGCAGUGGCUCAGGGGGGGCGAGGCCCCACCUGGCAGUGGCCCAGGGGCCGUAGCGGGCACAGGGCGAUGCGGGUGCGGGUGCCCAUAGCCUGCCCAGGGCAGGGCGGGGCCGUGGCCAUGGACGAGGCCGCCGGCGCCCACGACGCCGGCCAGGAGGGCGGCGGAGGGCCGCGGGCGGCGCGGGGGUGGAGGUAGUGGCGGGGCUGCGGACUAGAGGGGGCGCUGGCNNNNNNNNNNNNNNNNNNNNNNNNNNNNNNNNNNNNNNNNNNNNNNNNNNNNNNNNNNNNNNNNNNNNNNNNNNNNNNNNNNNNNNNNNNNNNNNNNNNNNNNNNNNNNNNNNNNNNNNNNNNNNNNNNNNNNNNNNNNNNNNNNNNNNNNNNNNNNNNNNNNNNNNNNNNNNNNNNNNNNNNNNNNNNNNNNNNNNNNNNNNNNNNNNNNNNNNNNNNNNNNNNNNNNNNNNNNNNNNNNNNNNNNNNNNNNNNNNNNNNNNNNNNNNNNNNNNNNNNNNNNNNNNNNNNNNNNNNNNNNNNNNNNNNNNNNNNNNNNNNNNNNNNNNNNNNNNNNNNNNNNNNNNNNNNNNNNNNNNNNNNNNNNNNNNNNNNNNNNNNNNNNNNNNNNNNNNNNNNNNNNNNNNNNNNNNNNNNNNNNNNNNNNNNNNNNNNNNNNNNNNNNNNNNNNNNNNNNNNNNNNNNNNNNNNNNNNNNNNNNNNNNNNNNNNNNNNNNNNNNNNNNNNNNNNNNNNNNNNNNNNNNNNNNNNNNNNNNNNNNNNNNNNNNNNNNNNNNNNNNNNNNNNNNNNNNNNNNNNNNNNNNNNNNNNNNNNNNNNNNNNNNNNNNNNNNNNNNNNNNNNNNNNNNNNNNNNNNNNNNNNNNNNNNNNNNNNNNNNNNNNNNNNNNNNNNNNNGACGGUGGUCUCCUCCCGAUCCAGAUCCGGGGAGGCAGGGGAGGGAGGAUAUUUCGGGGGGGAAGUGGGUGGAGGUGUCGGUGGUGAGGGGGGGGAUGGAUAAGGUGGGGAGUGGGUGGGCCGGCCGGCUGGGCCUGGGGGUUGGCCCAGUCGGGCCAGGGUCCAGUGUGGGAGGGGGCUCCUCCUUUUUUUUCUUUUCUGUUUGUUUUCUCUAUUGCAUUUUCUUUUCUUUUUAUUUAUUUUCUUUUCUGUUUUACAUCAUUUUAAAAUAGUUAGGCAUUUUCUAAAAAUAUGUUUUCUCCACAAUAAUUAUCAGUGCAAUAUCUGGCACCCACCGAACAUUUUUGUUUAAAUUUUUGAAAACUUUUAUUAUUGACAUUAAUUUGAAUUUAAAUUUUGAAACGGUUUCGAAUCAUCGCGAGGUUAACAACAGUAACCGUGGUGACGUGGCAUCAUUAGCGUGGGAUUACUGUAGCUUAAUUAUCCGGGCGUCACACUCGUAACUCAAAUAUUCUCCUUCACGAUCAGAUCGUAGAAACUUUAUUUUCUUGUUAUGAUGAUUUUCCACUUUACUCUGAAAUUCUUGGAACUUUUCAAAUGUUUCAGACUUAAGUUUCAGUAAGUAGAUAUACCCAUAUCUGCUCAAAUCAUCUGUGAAGGUCAGAAAAUAAUCAUACCCUCCACGAGCAUCAACACUCAUCCGACCGCAUACAUCGGUAUGUAUUGUUUCCAGCAAGUCUGUUGCUCGCUCCAUAGUUCCAGAGAACGGAGUCUUAGUCAUCUUGCCCAUGAGGCAUGGUUCGCAAGUAUCAAGUGAUUCAUAAUCAAGUGAUUCCAAAAGCCCAUCAGCAUGGAGUUUCUUCAUGCGCUUUACACCAAUAUGACCUAAACGGCAGUGCGACAAAUAAGUUGCACUAUCAUUAUUGAACUUAUAUCUUUUGGCUUCAAUACUAUGAAUAUGUGUAUCACUACUAUCGGCAUUCAACAAAAAUAGACCACUCAUCAAGGGUGCAUGACCAUAAAAGAUAUUACUCAUAUAAAUAGAACAACCAUUAUUCUCUGAUUUAAAUGAAUAACCGUCUCGCAUCAAACAAGAUCCAGAUAUAAUGUUCAUGCUCAACGCUGGCACCAAAUAACAAUUAUUUAGGUCUAAAACUAAUCCCGAAGGUAGAUGUGAGGUAGCGUGCCGACCGCGAUCACAUAAACUUUGGAACCAUUUCCCACGCGCAUCGUCACCUCGUGCUUAUCCAAUCUUCGCUUAAUCCGUAGCCCCUGUUUCGAGUUGCAAAUAUGAGCAACAGAACCAGUAUCAAAUACCCAGGCACUACUGCGAGCAUUAGUUAAGUACACAUCAAUAACAUGUAUAUUAAAUAUACCUUUCACUUUGCCAUCCUUCUUAUCCGCCAAAUACUUGGGGCAGUUCCGCUUCCAGUGACCAGUCCCUUUGCAGUAGAAGCACUCAGUCUCAGGCUUAUGUCCAGACUUGGGCUUCUUCACUCGAGUAGCAACUUGCUUGCCGUUCUUCUUGAAGUUCCCCUUCUUCCCUUUGCCCUUCUUCUUGAAACUGGUGGUCUUGUUGACCAUCAACACUUGAUGCUCCUUCUUGAUUUCUACCUCCGCAGCUUUUAGCAUCGCGAAGAGCUCGGGAAUUGUCUUAUCCAUCCCUUGCAUAUUAUAGUUCAUCACGAAGCUUUUGUAGCUUGGUCGCAGUGAUUGAAGAACUCUGUCAAUGACACUAUCAUCAGGAAGAUUAACUCCCAGUUGAGUCAAGUGGUUGUGGUACCCAGACAUUUUGAGUAUAUGUUCACUGACAGAACUAUUCUCCUCCAUCUUGCAGCUAUAGAACUUAUUGGAGACUUCAUAUCUCUCAAUCCGGGUAUUUUCUUGAAAUAUUAACUUCAACUCCUGGAACAUCCCAUAUGCUCCAUGACGUUAAAUGUCGUUGAAGUCCCGGUUCUAAGCCGUAAAGCAUGGCACACUGAACUAUCGAGUAGUCAUCAACACGCGUCUGCCGGGCAUUCACAAUGUCCGCAGUUGCUGGUGCGGGUGGUACACCUAGUGGUGCUUCGAGGACGUAAUUCUUCUGUGCAGCAAUGAGGAUAAUCCUCAAGUUACGGACCCAGUCCGUGUAAUUGCUACCAUCAUCUUUCAACUUAGCUUUCUCUAGGAACACAUUAAAAUUCAACGGAACAGUAGCACGGGCCAUUUAUCUACAACAACAUAGACAUGCAAAAUACUAUCAGGUACUAAGUUCAUGAUAAAUUAAAGUUCAAUUAAUCAUAUUACUUAAGAACUCCCACUUAGAUAGACAUCCCUCUAAUCAUCUAAGUGAUCACGUGAUCCAAAUCAACUAAACCAUGUCCGAUCAUCUCGUGAGAUGGAGUAGUUUUCAAUGGUGAACAUCACUAUGUUGAUCAUAUCUACUAUAUGAUUCACGCUUGACCUUUCGGUCUCAGUGUUCCGAGGCCAUAUCUGCAUAUUCUAGGUCGUCAAGUUUAACCCGAGUAUUUUGCGUGUGCAAAACUGGCUUGGACCCGUUGUAUGUGAACGUAGAGCUUAUCACACCCGAUCAUCACGUGGUGUCUUGGCACGAUGAACUGUCGCAACGGUGCAUACUCAGGGAGAACACUUAUACCUUGAAAUUUAGUGAGAGAUCAUCUUAUAAUGCUACAGCCGAACUAAGCAAAAUAAGAUGCAUAAAGGAUAAACAUCAUAUGCAAUCAAUAUAAGUGAUAUGAUAUGGCCAUCAUCAUCUUGUGCCUUUGAUCUCCAUCUCCAAAGCACCGUCAUGAUCACCAUCGUCACCAGCGCGACACCUUGAUCUCCAUCGUAGCAUCGUUAUCGGUGUCAGUGUCAAAACCGGCGGAUCUCGGGUAGGGGGUCCCGAACUGUGCGUCUAAGGUCGAUGGUUAAUAGGAGACGGGGGACACGAUGUUUACCCAGGUUCGGGCCCUCUCUAUGGAGGUAAUACCCUACUUCCUUCUUGAUUGAUCUUGAUGAAUAUGAGUAUUACAAGAGUUGAUCUACCACCAGAUCAUAAUGGCUAAACCCUAGAAGUCUAGCCUAUAUGACUAUGGUAAUGAGUGUAUCCUUUCCGGACUAUUCCCUCCGGUUUAUAUAGACACCGGGGGGAUCUAGGGUUACAUAAGAAGGAAUCUUCAUAGUUGGUCGCCAAGCUUGCCUUCCACGCCAAGGAGAGUCCAAUCCAAACAUGGGUAUAGUCUUCGGCCUUCAUGUCUUCACAGCCCAUAAGUCCGGCCCACUGAUAAUAGGUCGGACGCCCGAGGACCCCUUAGUCCAGGACUCCCUCAGUAGCCCCAGAACCUGGCUUCAAUGACGAGGAGUCCGGCGCGCAGAUUGUCUUCGGCAUUGCAAGGCGGGUUCCCUUUUUCCGAACUCCAAGAUAGUAUUCAGACGCGUUGAUAGUAUCCGGACCUGUCACACACACCAUACACAACCACAGAGGGAAUUUAACUUUACACAAGUCCAAUCUGCUGACAAAUUUUUGUAGCAUGCCAUCACGUCCGACCGGUCAUAAUUCUGAACCGUUUUAUGCCCGACGCCCCACGUCCCGAGAGGCGGUUGCUAUUGGCACGUCCUGUCAAAGCAGAGAUCGUGUCCCCUUAUCGUGGGAUUCUCAUUAAUGCGGGCAUGGGUAACCCAACCGUGCCGUUUACACAGGCCUUGGGAAUAGGUGUAUUCUAAGGCGAGUGGGGAGGCGUUCAAUAUUUACUACCUUUAUGAGGGGAUAAGGACUCCCUCUUCUUCUCCCAUGCCUUCUCUCUAUCUCUGCGCUUCCAAUCUCGAGCUCCAGCGCCCAAGUUCUCAUCUCCUUUCCACUCGAGCUAGCACUCAACCAUGUCCGGAUCUGGAGGUCAGGGCAAGUGGAUGAUCUCCUCCGUCAAGGAGGAGGACAUUACCGAGCUUCGGGUGGCCCGAUACUUGGCGAAGGAAAUCGCCCACCGUCUGCCGGCCGAGGGACAAGUCCUCCCGAUGCCGGAGCCCAACGAGAGGGUGGUAUUCAUCCCUCAUUUCUUCCACUGACUGGGUUUCCCGCUCCACCCUUUCGUCUGCGGGCUGAUGUAUUACUAUGGGAUAGAUUUCCACGAUCUGUCCCCAAACUCCUUCCUCAACAUCUCGGCGUUUAUCGUCGUGUGCGAGGCCAUCCUCCGCAUCCAACCCCACUUCGGGCUGUGGCUCAAAGUUUUCAACGUGAAGCCGAAGGUGGUGGAUGGCCAGCACGCGGAGUGCGGAGGAGCUAUGGUGAGUAAGUUGUCCAAUGUCUCCUGGCCGAAAGGCACUUUUGUGGAGACAGUAAAGGAGUGGCAGAAACAAUGGUUCUACAUCACGGAACCCCGCGGCACCACUAGAGCCGCAGCUGUCGAAUUCCGCUCCGACGCUCCCAUGUGACUCACCUCCUGGGUAGAGAAGAGUCCGGACUGGUGUUCGCCCGAUGACCUGAUUGCGCUCCAGACGCGCAUUCAGAGCAUGAUAGCCAAGAACGUCAAGCUUGUCGAUGUAAUUCAGGUGAUGCUGGUUCGCUGGAUCCUUCCGUGCCAAUGCAGAAGUCGUCCUCUGUGGGAUUUUAACCCGAAGAAGCGCCAAACCCUGGUGAGGCUCUUUGAAACUACUCACGAGCGUGCCUGGAAGUUGCUCUUCAAGGGCAACGAGAAACCGCAGGCCACGGAUUCGGACCGUGGGCACGACAUUAAGCACCUCGCCAGCGAGGUAUACUAUUUUUAACGUAUCCUCUACUUGCUUGUUUCGAGGAUGAUGUCUGAGCUUUUAUCAUUGCUGUUUCAGGAUUGGACGGAGAAGGCGAAGCGGAUCCAGUGUCCGGCUCCGCUGCCGGAAGAACCGGUCAUCCCGCGUCUAGCGAUGAUGCUGGUGCCGACGCCAUAUAAGGCGCCGGAGAAGAAGGCCAAGGGGGCCAAAGUUGGCCCCCGUCGCAAAGGCGCUUCGGAUGUGACGUCCGAAGACGAAGAAGCCCAUUCCUCCGUCCCUGAGGACAAUGACGAGGAAGAGGAGGAGGAGGAGGAGGAGGAGAAGAACCUUCCUCCUAAGGAGGGAAAGAAGAAAAGGGGGGCCUCCACGAAUCUGGAGGCGGGAACGCCCAAGAAGGGGAAGGGCGCCCCUGCGGUCAACACCGUGUGGGACGUUGACAGCAGUUCGGAGCGACGCCUUCGCACUAAGCCUCGGGACGCAUUGUAAGUGCUAUGACUCACAUAUACAUGUGUACCCGGCCUCUCAUUCUUAUUGUUUUAACGUGGUUAAUUGUGCUAUUGCAGUCCGGCCCGUGACAGCAUCCAGUGAUCCUCAUCCGGAGGUUCGUUGGAUCCAACGGAAAUGGCCAGCAUGUCGCCACCGCCCGCUUAUUCUCCCGAGGUCAAAGAUGACACCGAAGUGUUGUCUCGGAGGACUGCUCCAAGCCGGGGAAGGGCCCAGGACAAUAACCCGGAGGCGCCGCAAGGCGAGACCUCCGCUGCCGAACAUGAUUCCCCUGAAGACUGGCGAGGAGGGACGUAUUCAGUUCGGCCCUCAGCCGAACAUGAUUCCGGGGACCAAUAAGGCCUCGGAAUCCGGCUAGCGCCCUCCUUCAAAGGAGGGAGGUGCGCCAAUUCUAUCGGUGGCCCCUGUCCAACCAGGGGCGCCGAAUAACCCGAUGGAGGCGCUGCAAGGCGCCUGCAUUAUGGACGAGCAUCGUGUCCUUAUUGGUAUGGUGAUCGAGAAGGUUCAGUCUGCCAAAAGCGGACUAAACGAGGCCUGAGCAACCUGUUAACAGGUUUUGAGGUAAGUUGCGUAGAAAGAGAACAACCCCAUGCAGAUAGUAGCCCCUGAGACACUGUCCGGUGUUCGAAAAGAAAGGCCGGACAGAGGAUCAACCCUUUGUAGGAGACUAACUUGAUAUGCGCAAAUGAGCAGGCGUCGCUAUUGGCCGCGACCUCUCAUGCUGCCAAAGUCUCUGAUCUGAGGCAGAGACUGGAGCGGGCCGAGAACGAGCUCAGUGAGGCGAAGAUUCAGCUCCAGGAGAGGCAAGGUGAGCGACGACUUGUUGUGUAUUCGGAAAGAAUAAGCGGGGAGUAUUGACCGCAGUGUCAUACUAUGUGUAGGGGCGGCGACCGAGGUCAAGGCCCUGAAAAAUGCCCUGGCCGAAGCCGAGGGGAAGGCUGUCCAGCAGCAAGCCGCCCAUAAGAAGCUCAAGGCCCGGGUCAGCGAGGUCCAGCAGGAGCUCCAGGACGCGGUGAAGAAGUGCGAAGUCUUGGAGCGCGAGGCGUCGGUUCAAGAGGCCAAAUUUACCAAGGCUCGCCAGAGCGCGGAUACUGCACGGAAUGAGGCCCGGGACGCUCUCCAUGAGAUACAGGAGGCCAAGAAGGUCGCAGCGGGUAAGGCCUUUAACAUGCAAAGCAAGUAUGUGGAGAGGAAGUACCUUUUACUAACCCGGAUUCGGAGUUGUCCAGGGGCCUUUGCGGAUCUACCAUGCAACGUGUCCAAUUAUGCGGAGUUCUUCCGAGCCAGAGAAGGGAGCUCCACGGAGAAGCUGUUCUGGUCGCAGUAUGCUGUGCCAGAACAUCCGGUGCGCUUUGUCGAUCAACUGAAGCAGUUGGUCGAGCUGCAUAGAGUGGCCGAACUGGCCAUGAAGGAUUUAAUAAUCCGGCUGUGGCCAGCCGAAGCUAUGCCUAGCAGCUAUUUUGGCCUUGUGCAGCGGGUGGUAGAAGCCUGUCCGCGGCUAGACAUCGUCAAGCAAUCAGUCUGCAUCGAAGGUGCCCGCAUGGCCUUCGCCCAUUGCAAGAUGUGAUGGGCAAAGAUGGACGCCGUCGAGGUGGCCAGGGGGCCGCCAGAGGGCAAGGAGCACCGCACACCCGAGCGAUAUUUUGCGGAUGUCCUAGAAGGGUUUCGACUUGCAGCAGCGCAGUGCGGGCAGGACAUUGUUUUUGAAUGAAUACACUUGUGUUUUGUCCUUGCCUUGUAUGAUAAAAACGAAGCCGGUUUGUAAUACAAUGUUUGUUAUGUUUUAAUUGUUUCUUCCUAUGCGGCUGUGUUGUAUGAAAUCUGAGGGUUGGCCAGUCGUCGGCUUCCGCCCUCACGUAGGUAGUAUGGAGGUGUUCGGGAUGGAAUCUAAACAAUCUUUAUCCAAUUAUAUGGUCCUUAAAGGAGUUGUUUAGCGCAACGAACCAGGCAAUCAGACUAUGCAUCUUAAACACCCUCAUUUAGCCAUAGGAGUUUUAUAAUAAAACAUGGGCGCAGCCCCUGGUAUACGAACCAGAGUGCUGUCAGCGCCUGAUCGGGAAGUACCGAUCCUUCGCAUAACGCGGAAAAAAUCUCCGGCGAUUUUCAACCUCUCGAACAGCUGACCGGCUCUCGCCGCAUCAUGACAGUAAGUUUUUGGCUUUCUCUACUGAGGUGCUCAUCUGGGUAAACCAGGGCACAAUCGCAGUAGUUCUCCCUUUACUACCCUAGCCGAUGUAGCGGAACGUAGGGUAGCAAGCACAGGAGCCGGGCAACCCAACUAUUGACCAAAGACAUGAUUCGGAGCCAAUGCAUAUAAUGCUAAAUUCGGGGUGCCGAACAUAUCUAUAAGAAGUGUUCGGACUUUGUUGCUGUAUUAUGGGGCGGUGAGGAGCCCCUGGCAAAUAUGAAACAUACCAAAGUGUACGGGUGCUAGAAUGCAAGUAAUUAAUGGCAAAGGAAAACAGAAAAAGAGCAGAGGUAAUAUCUGUGGCCCUUGAACCUGGGCCAUGAACUGUUUCCAUUAUAAUUGGAUUGAUGUGUUAAAGCGCAUCGACACAAAUAGUGCGAUCAACACCCGGCUAUUUAACAUGCUGCCACCGAAGGCGAGCUGCGUGUGAGUCCUGAAAACAGGUAGAGUAAUUGUUAAAUUGACCUCUAGAGUUUCUCUUGUCCGCCUGUGCUUCGCGCCGCUCUGGUGUAUUUAUCCUUGGACUGGGCCAGCAAUCAGGCCCUCGAAGGAGGCAUGUGUAAAACCUGAGAAGGGAAGAGGAAAUAGUUAAGGUGUAUGUGAGUCCGGGAUCGGUCUAGCCGAACUAUGGAUCACAAGCUAGUUGUGCCUCCGUCGACGCCCAUGGAAUUUUGAGUGCGUAAUUAUGUACGUAUGGCACGAAUGCCACUGCCUCAUCGGGACUGGGACGGAGGCCGAAUUGCUAAUCGAGCUCUUGACGAGCCGAGCUAUCCUGUUGCAGUGUAGUCCGGACCCUCUUAAUGAUGUCCAGGGGCUCGGCAGCCGGAUUAUGGUGCUUCUUGAGAAGGCCGCUCUAUACCUUUGCUGCCAGGGCGGCGGUGUGCUCUUCUGUACAGAGGGAGCGUUCCGUGUUUCCAUUGACUGUUAUGACGCCGCAUGGACCAGGCAUCUUGGGCUUGAGAUAAGCAUAGCGUGGUACCGCGCUGAAUCUUGCAAACGCGGUUCGUCCGAGCAGUGCAUGAUAGCCGCUGCGGAAGGGGACGAUAUCGAAGAUGAUCCCUUCGCUUCGGAAGUUAUCCGGGGAACCGAAGACCACUUCCAGCAUGAUUGAGCCCGUACAACGGGCCUCUACGCCUGGUAUGACUCCUUUAAAGGUAGUCUUUGUGGGUUUGAUUCGUGAGGGGUUGACGCCCAUUUUGCGCACUAUAUCCUGAUAGAGCAGGUUGAGGCUGCUACCCCCGUCCAUUAGGACUCGUGUUAGGUGAAAUUCGUCGAUGAUUGGGUCGAGGACCAGUGCAGCCGAACCGCCAUGGCGAAUACUAGUUGGAUGAUGUCGACGACCGAAGGUGAUCGGGAAUGAUGACCACGGGUUUAAUUUUGGGGCGACUGGCUCUACUGCGUAGACGUCCCUGAGUGCGCGCUUGCGCUCCCUUUUGGGGAUGUGUGUGGCGUAUAUCAUGUUCACCGUUUUGAGUUGAGGGGGAAAUUUCUUCUGCCCCCCAGUGUUCGGCUGCCGGGGCUCUUCGUCAUCGUCCUUACUUUGUGAUCCCUUUUCCUUGUUCUCGGCAUUUAACUUGCCGGCCUUUUUAAAAACCCAACAAUCUCUGUUGGUAUGAUUGGCUUGUUUGUCUGGGGUGCCAUGUAUUUGGCACGGACGGUCGAGUAUGCGGUCCAAGCUGGAUGGUCCUUCACUGUUCCUUUUGUAGGGCUUCUUCCGCUGACCGGACUUGGAGCCGCUGAAUCCGGCGUGAACCACAGUGUCAUCGGUGUUAUCGCCAUUGCUUCAGCGUUUGUGUCUAUUGCGCCGGAGCUUGCCGGUGCUGUUUUUGGCUUCGGAGGGGCCUGCCUCGUUGGCUGUGUUUUUGCUACGAGCCAGCCAGCUGUCCUCACCCGCACAAAAGCGGGUCAUGAGUGCCGUGAGGGCUGCCAUAGAUUUCGGCUUUUCUUGGCCGAGGUGGCGGGCGAGCCAUUCGUCACGGAUGCUGUGUUUGAAGGCCGCUAGGGCUUCGGCAUCCGGACAGUCAACGAUCUGGUUCUUUUUGGUUAGGAACCUAGUCCAGAAUUUCCUUGCGGACUCUCCAGGUUGUUGAACUAUAUGACUUAAGUCAUCAGCGUCUGGUGGCCGAACAUAAGUGCCUUGGAAGUUGUCAAGGAAAGCUUCUUCCAAGUCCUCCCAGUUGCCGAUGGAAUUUUUGGGCAAGCUAUUUAACCAGUGUCUAGCUGGUCCAUUUAGCUUUAGUGGGAGGUAUUUGAUGGCGUGGAGAUCGUCUCCUCAGGCCAUAUGGAUGUGGAGAAUAAAAUCUUUGAUCCAUACUGCGGGAUCAGUUGUUCCAUCGUAUGACUCAAUAUUGACGGGCUUGAACCCCUCAGGGAAUUCAUGAUCCAGCACUUCAUCUGUGAAGCAAAGAGGGUGUGCGGUGCCUCUAUAUCGGGAAGUGGCGCGGCGCACCUCUGAUGAAGUCUGCCCGCGGUUAUCGGCCUGGGCGUGACUAGGUUUGUCACGUCCGAAUAGGUAGCCGUCAUCCCGAGUCGGAAGGCGUCCUCGCGAUCCGUAGAUUGAUUUGGUGUGUCCUGCUUUACUGUCCAGUUCCUGCCGAAGGUCGUAUGUAUAGUCCCGAGCUAUUUUGUCUUUGUUUUUGCGAGGCGGUGGGGCGGGCUGCUGGUUGGCAUGAGUUGUCGCUUUUUCCCGACGGCGGGGUGGUCGGUCCACCGCACUGUCCCGCUCGCGCGGUGGUCGUUCCGCAUUGCGCGAGGGAGGUAUGGGCUCCGGUGCCUCCUCAUCAAACUGAGGUAGCAGUCUGCGCUUCUGGUAACUCUUGGCUGGACGCUUGAGGCCGUAUUCUUCGGCUGCCAGGACAUCAGUCCAUCUGUCAAUGAGUAGGUCUUGAUCAGCUUGAAGCUGCUGCUGCUUUUUCUUCAAGCUUCUUGCAGUGGCAAUUAGCUGUUGCUUGAAGCGCUCCUGCUCGAGGGGUGCCUCAGGCACGAUGAAGUCCUCGUUGCCGAGGCUCUCCUCAUCCUCGGAGAGCGGAUGAUAACUAUCGUCAUCCGGGUCGUUGGGCAUGGCCUGUUUAUCAGGGUUAACUUGCCCGUUGUCUUGUUCCUCCUGUUCGGAUGUUGCUCCAACAGUGUCUUCGUUGUUUUCGGCGUCAUCCGGAGUAUUAUUUUCUCCGGUGCAAGUGUUGCCGUCUUUUGAGCGACGUGGCUUAGAACGGCGUUUAGGGCGCCGACGCUUGGACUGUGUCUCAGGAGGUUUAUUCUCAACUGGAUCUUCUUUGUCAUCGUCGCUAGCCUUUUUAGGUGUGUCGACGUACACAUCGUACGAAGAGGUAGCCGUCCAACAUCCAGUGAAUGGCAGGUUUUGACCCUGCUCCUCCUCGUCAUCAUCGUCUAUGUCGUCGAUGUAUUCGGAGCCGUAAUCAAGCGUGUCGGUUAAGUCAUCGAGAGUGGCUAUGAAGUGGGUGGCGGGUGGGAAGCAAAAUUCUCCGUCGUCAGCCCCUAGUUCGAACCGGACAUAGUUCGGCUGUGAGUCCCCCGCCAAGGAUAGGUUAUUUAACGAGUUUAGCAUGUCACCCAGGGGCGAGUGUUGGAAGAUGUCUGCGGCGUCGAAUUCGAAAAUCGAUAAUUGAUCCAGCUCAGUGUCCGCAGGCGUACGUGGUUCGGAACUUAUAGUCGGAGACGAGUCCGGAGUUCCGUUGACGCAAAUAUUGCAAGGUGUCGAGUCUGUGUGCGGCUCCAACGCCGCGGACUCUGUGGCCUCGGAUGGCGCAAUCUACUCCGGAUUAAUGGCCGUUGCAGAUACAGGAACCAUCUCCUGGAUGUGAUCCAAUGACAGAUUUAAGUCAUGUUGAUCGGAGCGAGGGGGAGCGAUCGCCGCGGUCUCGAAUCCGUUGAAGAUCAGGUCUCCACGGAUGUCCGCGACGUAGAUCAAGCUUCUAGAUCUGGCUCGAUGGCCAGGGGCGUAGCUGUUGAUCUGCUCCACAUGGCCAAGCGAGUUGGCCCGCAGUACGAAGCCGCCGAAUACGAAGAUCUGUCCGGGGAGGAAGGUUUCUCCCUGGACAGCGUCCCUAUCGACGAUUGAAGGGGCCAUUGAACCUUUCGUCGACGACACAAUGGAACUCUCAAUGAAAGCACCAAUGUCGGUGUCAAAACCGGCGGAUCUCGGGUAGGGGGUCCCGAACUGUGCGUCUAAGGUCGAUGGUUAACAGGAGACGGGGACACGAUGUUUACCCAGGUUCGGGCCCUCUCUAUGGAGGUAAUACUCUACUUCCUGCUUGAUUGAUCCUGACGAAUAUGAGUAUUACAAGAGUUGAUCUACCACGAGAUCGUAAUGGUUAAACCCUAGAAGUCUAGCCUGUAUGACAAUGGUAAUGAGUGUAUCCUUUCCGGACUACUCCCUCCGGUUUAUAUAGACACCGGGGGGAUCUAGGGUUACAUAGAGUCGGUUACAUAAGAAGGAAUCUUCAUAGUUGGUCGCCAAGCUUGCCUUCCACGCCAAGGAGAGUCCAAUCCGGACACGGGUAUAGUCUUCGGCCUUCAUGUCUUCACAGCCCAUAAGUCCGGCCCACUGAUAAUAGGUCGGACACCCGAGGACCCCUUAGUCCAGGACUCCCUCAGUCGUCUCACCAACUAUUGCUUCUACGACUAACGCUACCGCUUAGUGAUAAAGUAAAAACAAUUACAUGGCGAUUGCAUUGCAUACAAUAAAGCGACAACCAUAUGGCUCCUGCCAGUUGCCGAUAACUCUGUUACAAAAUAUGAUCAUCUCAUACAAUAAAAUAUAGCAUCAUGUCUUGACCAUAUCACAUCACAACAUGCCCUGCAAAAACAAGUUAGACGUCCUCUACUUUGUUGUUGCAAGUUUUACGUGGCUGCUACAGGCUUAGCAAGAACCGUUCUUAUCUACACAUCAAAAAAACCACAACGAUUUUUCGUCAAGUGUGUUGUUUUAACCUUCAACAAGGACCGGGCGUAGCCACACUCGAUUCAACUAAAGUUGGAGAAACAGACACCCACUGGACACCUGUGUGCGAAGCACGUCGGUAGAACCAGUCUCGCGUAAGCGUACGCAUAAUAUCGGUCUGGGCCGCUUCAUCCAACAAUACCGCUGAAUCAAAGUAUGACAUGCUGGUCAGCAGUAUGACUAUUAUCGCCCACAAUUCUUUGUGUUCUACUCGUGCAUAUAACAUCUACGCAUAGACCUGGCUCGGAUGCCACUGCUGGGAAACGCAGUAAUUUCAAAAAAAUUCCUACGAACACGCAAGAUCUAUCUAUGUGAUGCAUAGCAACGAGAGGGGAGAGUUUUGUCUACGUACCCUCGUAGACCGAAAGCGGAAGCGUUAUGACAACGCGGUUGAUGUAGUCGUACGUCUUCACGAUCCGAUCGAUCCUAGCACCGAAGGUACGGCACCUCCGCGAUCUGCACACGUUCAGCUCGGUGACGUCCCACGAACUCUAGAUCCAGCUGAGGUCGAGGGAGAGUUUCGUCAGCACGACGGCGUGAUGACGGUGAUGAUGAAGUUACCAACGUAGGGCUUCACCUAAGCACUACAACGACAUGACCGAGGUGGAAAUCUGUGGAGGGGGGCACCGCACACGGCUAAGACAACUGUCAACUUGUGUGUUCUAGGGUCCCCCUGCCCCCGUAUAUAAAGGAGCAAGGGGGAGGCCGGUCGGCCCUCAUGGGGCGCUCCCCAAGUAGGAUUCCUACUAGGAAUCCUAUUCCUAGUAGGUUUCCAACAAGGGAAGAGAGGGGGAAGGAAGGAGAGGGAGAGUGGGAGAAGGAAAGGGGGCGCCGCCCCCUUCCCUAGUCAAAUUCAGACCCAAGGGGGAGGGGGGGCGCGGCCUGCCCUAGCCGCCCCUCUCUCUCUCUCUCUCCACUAAGGCUCAUGUGGCCCAUUAGUUCCCCCGGGGGGUUCCGGUAACCCUUUGGCACUCCAGUUUCAUCCGAAAUUUCUCUGGAACAUUUCCGGUGUCUGAAUAUAGUCGUCCAAUAUAUCAAUCUUUAUGUCUCGACCAUUUCAAGACUCCUCGUCAUGUCUGUGAUCACAUCCCGGACUCCGAACUACCUUCGGUACAUCAGAACGCAUAAACUCAUAAUACCGAUCGUCACUGAACGUUAAGCGUGCGGACCCUACGGGUUCGAGAACUAUGUAGACAUGACCGAGACUCACUUCCGUUCAAUAACCAAUAGCGGAACCUGGAUGCUCAUAUUGGUUCCUACAUAUUCUACGAAGAUCUUUAUCAGUCAAACCGCAUAACAACAUACGUUGUUCCCUUUGUCAUCGGUAUGUUACUUGCCCGAGAUUCGAUCGUCGGUAUCUCAAUACCUAGUUCAAUCUCAUUACCGGCAAGUCUCUUUACUCGUUCCGUAAUGCAUCAUCCCGCAACUAACUCAUUAGUCGCAUUGCUUGCAAGGCUUAUAGUGAUGUGCAUUACCGAGAGGGCCCAGAGAUACCUCUCCGUAAAAUGGAGUGACAAAUCCUAAUCUCGAUCUAUGCCAACCCAACAAACACCAUCGAAGACACCUGUAGAGCAUCUUCAUAAUCACCCAGUUACGUUGUGACAUUUGAUAGCACACUAAGUGUUCCUCCGGUACUCAGGAGUUGCAUAAUCUCGUAGUCACAGGAACAUGUAUAAGUUAUGAAGAAAGCUAUAGCAAUAAACUAAACGAUCAUAGUGCUAAGCUAACGGAUGGGUCAAGUCAAUCACAUCAUUCUCUAAUGAUGUGAUCCCGUUCAUCAAAUGACAACACAUGUCUAUGAUUAGGAAACUUAACCAUCUUUGAUUAACAAGCUAAUCAAAGUAGAGGCAUACUAGUGACACUCAGUUUGUCUAUGUAUUCACACAUGUACUAAGUUUCCGGUUAAUACAAUUAUAGCAUGAAUAAUAAACAUUUAUCAUGAUAUAAGGAAAUAUAAAGGCUUGCCGAUCAUUGGGCAAGUCCACCAAAGUCCAUACUUUGUUCUCAUACAUGGAAGCUUUUCCUCUGCAGGGGCCUUGUGUAGUAAACCCCAUGUCGUAGGGGUGGGUAGGCCAAUAGAAGACUAGGGAACUUAGCCUAGCCACUCAGUUCUGCCCCGAGCCAAGCUAUCUCAGAUUUCAUGGCCUCAAGCCAUUUUGCGGAAUCUGGGCUCAUCAUCGCUUCCUGAAAGUUCGUAGGUUCAUCAUGGUCUAGUAAUAUGACUUCCAGAACAGGAUUACCGUACCACUCUGGUGCGGAACGUGCUCUGGUUUACCUACAAGGUUCGGUAGUAACUCGAGCUUAUCAGGCUGAAGCCUUUUGACAUAUGUGUCACAACCUCAAACUUUAAGAAACGACAGCUUAGGUUUCUUGCCAAACCACAGUUCAUACGGUGUCGUCUCAACGGAUUUAGACGGUGCCCUAUUUAACGUGAAUGCAGCUAUCUCUAAUGCAUAAACCCAAAACGAUAGUGGUAAAUCGAUAAGAGACAUCAUAGAUCGCACCAUAUCUAAUAAAGUACGGUUACGAUGUUCGGAGACACCAUUACGCUGUGGUGUUCAAAGUGGCGUGGGUUGUGAAACUAUUCCACAUUGUUUUAAAUGAAGGACAAACUCAUAACUCAAAUAUUAACCUCCGCGAUCAGAUUGUAGAAACUUUAUUUUCUUGUCACGAUGAUUCUCCACUCGACUCUGAAAUUCCUUGAACUUUUCAAAUGUUUCAGAUUUGUGUUUCAUUAAGUAGAUAUACCCAUAUCUGCUCAAAUCAUCUGUGAAGGUCAGAAAAUAACGAUACCUGCCGCGUGCCUCAACACUCAUCGGACCGCAUACAUCGGUAUGUAUUAUUUCGAAUAAGUCAAUUGGCUCGCUCCAUUGUUCCGGAGAACGGAGUUUUAGUCAUCAUGCCCAUGAGGCAUGGUUCGCAAGUAUCAAAUGAUUCAUAAUCAAGUGAUUCCAAAAAUCCAUCCGUAUGGAGUUUCUUCAUGCGCUUCACACCAAUAUGACCUAAACGGCAGUGCCACAAGUAUGUUGCACUAUCAUCAUCAACUUUGCAUCUUUUGGCAUCAAUAUUAUGAAUAUGUGUAUUACUACGAUCGAGAUUCAAUAAACCAUUUACGUUGGGUGUAUGACCAUAGAAGGUUUUAUUCAUGUAAACAGAACAACAAUUAUUCUCUGACUUCAAUGAAUAACGUAUUGCAAUAAACAUGAUCCAAUCAUAUUCAUGCUCAAUGCAAACACCAAAUAACAUUUAUUUAGGUUCAACACUAACCCCGAAGGUAGAAGGAGUAUGCGAUGGUGAUCUUAUCAACCUUGGAAUCACUUCCAACACACAUCAUUACCUUGCCCUUAACUAGUCUUUGUUCAUUUUGCAACUCCCGUUUCGAGUUACUAAUCUUAGCAAAUGAACCGGCAUCAAAUACUCUAGGGUUACUAUGAACACUAGUAAAUUACACAUCAAUAACAUGUAUAUCAAAUAUACCUUUGUUCACUUUGCCAUCCUUCUUAUUCGCCAAUUAUUUGGGGUAGUUCCGCUUCCAGUGACCAUUCUCUUUGCAGUAGAAGCACUCAAUUUCAGGCUUAGGUCUAGCUUUGGGCUUCUUCACGGGAGUGUCAACUUGCUUGUCAUUCUUCUUAAAGUUCCCUUUCUUUUCCUUUGCCCUUUUUCUUGAAACUAGUGGUCUUGUUAACCAUCAACACUUGAUGCUCUUUCUUGAUUUCUACCUUCACCGAUUUUAGCAUCGCGACGAGCUCAGGGAUCGUUUUCGUCAUCCCUUGCGUAUUAUAGUUCAUCACGAAGUUCUAUUAACUUUGGUGAUAGUGACUAGAGAACUUUGUCAAUCACUAUCUUAUCUGGAAGAUUAACUCCCACUUGAUUCAAGCGAUUGUAGUACUUAGACAUUCUGAGCAUAUGCUCACUGGUUGAGCUAUUCUCCACCAUCUUGUAGGCAAAGUACUUGUCAGAGGUCUCAUACCUCUUGACUCAGGCAUGAGUCCGAAAUACCAAUUUCAGCUCUUGGAACAUCUUAUAUGCUCCGUGGCGUUCAAAACAAUUUCAUAACGUCUGCAUCUGCUCCUGCAAUAGGUCCGUCACCUAGCGGUGCCUCAAGGACAUAAUUCUUAUGUGCAGCAAUGAGGAUAAUCCUCAGAUCACGGACCCAGUCCGCAUCAUUGCUACUAUCAUCUUUAAACUUAUUUUUCUCUAGGAACAUAUCAAAAAUAAAGAAGGAGCUACAUCGCAAGCUAUUGAUCUACAACAUAGAUAUGCAAAUACUAUCAGGACUAAGUUCAUGAUAAAUUAAGUUCAAUUAAUCAUAUUACUUAAGAACUCCCACUUAGAUAGACAUCCCUCGAGUCAUCUAAAUGAUCACGUGAUCCAAAUCAACUAAACCAUGUCCGAUCAUCACGUGAGAUGGAGUAGUCUUCAAUGGUGAACAUCUCUAUGUUGAUCAUAUCUACUAUAUGAUUCAUGUUCGACCUUUCGGUCUCCAGUGUUCCGAGGCCAUGUCUGUACAUGCUAGGCUCGUCAAGUUUAACCCGAGUAUUCCGCAUGUGCAAAACUGUCUUGCACCCAUUGUAUGUGAACGUAGAGCCUAUCACACCCGAUCAUCACGUGGUGUCUCAGCACGAAGAACUUUCGCAACGGUGCAUACUAAGGGAGAACACUUAUACCUUGAAAUUUAGUUAAGGGAUCAUCUUAUAAUGCUACCGAAGUACUAAGCAAAAUAAGAUGCAUAAAAGAUAAACAUCACAUGCAAUCAACAUAUGUGACAUGAUAUGGCCAUCAUCAUCUUGUGCCUUUGAUCUCCAUCUCGAAAGCAUUGUCAUGAUCUCCAUCGUCACUGGCUUGACACCUUGAUCUCCAUCAUAGCGUCGUGGUCGUCUCGCCAACUAUUGCUUCUACAACUAUUGCUAACGCAUAGUGAUAAAGUAAAGCAAUUACAUGGCGUUUGCAUUUCAUACAACAAAGCGACAACCAUAAGGCUCCUGCCAGUUGCCGAUAACUUUUACAAAACUUGAUCAUCUCAUAUAGCAACGUAUAUCACGUCAUGUCUUGACCAUAUCACAUCACAACAUGCCCUGCAAAAACAAGUUAGACGUCCUCUACUUUGUUGUUGCAAGUUUUAAGUGGCUGCUAUGGGCUUCUAGCAAGAAUCGUUCUUACCUACGCAUCAAAACCACAAUGGUGAUUUAUCAAGUUUGCUGUUUUAACCUUCAACAAGGACCGGCCGCAGUCAAAUUCGAAUCAACUAUAGUAGGAGAAACAGACACCCGCCAGCCACCUUUAUGCAAAACUAGUUGCAUGUUUGUCGGUGGAACCAGUCUCAUUAACGUGGUCAUGUAAGGUUGGUCUGGGCCGCUUCAUCCAACAAUACCGCCGAAUCAAAAUAAGACAUUGGUGGUAAGCAGUAUGAUGAUCACCGCCCACAACUCUUUAUGUUCUACUCGUGCAUAUCAUCUACGCAUAGACCUGGCUCCGAUGCCACUGUUGGGAAACGUAUCAUGCAAUUUCAAAAAUUUCCUACGCUCACGCAAGACCUAUCUAGGAGAUGCAUAGCAACGAGAGGGGAGAGUGUGUCUAUGUACCCUCGUAGACCGUUAAGCGGAAGCGUUUAUCACGCGGUUGAUGUAGUCAUACUCUUCAUGAUCCGAUCACGGUCCAAACGAUCUAGUGCCGAACGGACGGCACCUCCGAGUUUAGCACACGUGUGGCUCGAUGACGUCUCCUCCUUCUUGAUCCAGCAAGCAGGAGAGGAGAAGUAGAUGGGAUCACAACCAACACGAUGGCAUGGUGGUGAUGGUGGUGGUGGAACACCGACAGCGCUUUGCUAAGCGUCGCCGGGACGAGGCGGUGGAACUACGGAGUAACGGGAGAGAGAGGGGCGCCAAGGGCUUGGUGUAUUCUCCAGGGGCACCCCUCCCCUAUAUAUAUAGGUGGAGGGGCAUGGUAAAUAGCCCCUCCAAGCCCUAGGUCGCAGCUAAGGGGGAGAGGACUUGGACUCCAAGUCCAAUCCUAUUCCUACUAGGACUCCUUCCUUUUUUGCCUUCCCUAGCCACAUGAGCUUUUGAGGACUUGGUGUGCUUAGCCCAAUAACGCCAGGGCGCCUCCCCACAGCCCAUGCUAGCCCUUGGGUCGUGGUGGAACCACUUGUGGACUUCCGGAACCCUCCGGAAUCCUUUGGAACCUUCUAGAAGCUUCCUGGUACAAUACCGAAAAAACUGCUUCUUUUUCAGGAACGAAAAAUAUGACUUCCCAUAUAUAAAGCUUUACCUCUCGACCAUUCCGAGACUCCUCGUGACGUCCGGGAUCUCAUCCAGGACUCCGAACAACAUUUGAUUACCACUCAUCAAAUAUCCCAAUACUACUCUAGCGUCAACGAACGUUAAGCGUGCGACCCUGCGGGUUCGGGAAUUAUGUAGUCAUGAAUGAGACACUUCUCCGGUCAAUAACCAACAGCGGAACCUGGAUGCUCAUAUUGGCUCCUACGUAUUCUACGAAGAUCUUUAUCGGUCGAACCGUUAUGACAACAUAAGUUAUUCCCUUUGUCUAUCGGUAUGUUACUUGCCCGAGAUUCGAUCGUCGAUAUCUUCAUACCUAGUUAUAUCUCGUUACCGGCAAGUCUCUUUACUCGUUCUGUAAUACAUCAUCCCGCAACUAACUCAUUAGUCACAUUGCCUGCAAGGCUUAUUAUGAUGUGCAUUACCGAGAGGGCCCAGAGAUACCUCUUCGAUACUCGGAGUGACAAAUCCUAAUCUUGAUCUAUGCCAACCCAACAAACACCUUCCGAGAUACCUAUAGAGCAUCUUUAUAAUCACCCAGUUACAUUGUGACGUUUGAUAGCACACAAGGCAUUCGUCCGGUAUCCGGGAGUUGCAUAAUCUCAUAGUCGAAGGAAUAUGUAUUUGACAUGAAGAAAGCAAUAUCAAUAAACUGAACGAUCAUUAUGCUAAGCUAAUGGAUGGGUCUUGUCCAUCACAUCAUUCUCCUAAUGAUGUGAUCCCGUUUAUCAAAUGACAACACAUGUAUGUGGUUAGGAAACUUAACCAUCUUUGAAUAACGAGCUAGUCUAGUAGAGGCUUACUAGGGACACGUUGUUUUGUCUAUGUAUCCACACAUGUAUCAAGUUUCCGGUUAAUACAAUUCUAGCAUGAAUAAUAAACAUUUAUCAUGAUAAAAGGAAAUAUAAAAUAACAACUUUAUUAUUGCCUCUAGGGCAUAUUUCCUUCGUCGUUAGCUUAGCAUAAUGAUCAUUCCGUUUUAUUGCUAUUGCUUUCUUCAUGUCAAAUACAUAUUCCUUCGACUAUGAGAUUAUGCAACUCCCGGAUACCGGAGGAAUGCCUUGUGUGCUAUCAAACGUCACAAUGUAACUGGGUGAUUAUAAAGAUGCUCUACAUGUAUCUCCGAAGGUGUUUUUUGAGUUGGCAUAGAUCGAGAUUAGGAUUUGUUACUCCGAGUAUCGAAGAGGUAUCUCUGGGCCCUCUCGGUAAUACACAUCAUAAGCUUGCAAGCAAACGACUAAGGAGUUGGUCACGAGGUGAUGUAUUAUGGAUUGAGUAAAGAGACUUGCCGGUAACGAGAUUGAACUAGGUAUGAAGAUACCGACAAUCGAAUCUCGGGCAAGUAACAUACCGAUAGACAAAGGGAAUUACGUAUGGUGUCAUAACGGUUCGACUGAUAUAGAUCUACGUAGAAUAUGUAGGAGCCAAUAUGGGCAUCUAGGUUCCGCUAUUGGUUAUUGACCGAGGAGGUGUCUCGGUCAUGUCUACAUAGUUCUCGAACCCGUAGGGUCCGCACGCUUAACGUUCGUUGACGAUAUAGUAUUAUAUGAGUUAUGUGAUUUGGUGACCGAAUAUUGUUCGGAGUCCCGGAUGAGAUCACGGAAAUGACGAGGAGUCUCUAAAUGGUCGAGAGGUAAAGAUUGAUAUAUAGGACGAUGGUAUUCGGACACUGGAAGUGUUCUAGAGGGUACCGGGUACUUAUCGGAUCACCGGAAAGGAGUUUCGGGCACCCCCGGCAAAAAUAUGGGCCUUAUGGGCCAAGUGAGGGAACACACCAGCCCUGGUGCGCCCCUAUAGAGGCCCGCCCGAUGAGGAGGAGAAGGAAAGAGGGGAGGGCAAGGAAAGUAUGGAUUGGGAUUCCUACUUCCUUCCCUCUCCCCCCGUCUUUCCUUCCCCCUCGGUUAUAUAUGACAGGGGGCGGCUUGGGAGGGACUCCAAGUAGGAUUCCUCCUACUUGGGCGCCUCCUAUGGCUGCUCCUCCCUCCCUCCCACCUAUAUAUAUGAGGAGGGGGCGCCUAGCACACAACAGACAAUUGCCUAGCCGUGUGCGGCGCCCCCCUCCAUAAUUUACACCCCCGGUCAUAUUCUUGCAGUGCCUAGGCGAAGCCCUGCGAGGAUCACUUCACCAUCACCGUCACCACACCAUCGUGCUGACGGAACUCAUCUACUACCUCGACGUCUUGCUGGAUCAAGAAGACGAGGGACGUUACCAAGCUGAACGUGUGCAGAACUCGGAGGUGUCGUACGUUCGGUACUCGAUCGAUGAACCGCGUUGUGAAACGCUUCCACUUACGGUCUACGACUGUACGUAGACACACUCUCCCCCUCGUUGCUAUGCAUCUCCAUGGAUAGAUCAUUGCGUGUGCGUAGAAUUUUUUUUGUUUUCCAUGCAACAAUUCCCAACAGUGGCAUCAUGAGCCAGGUCUAUGCGUAGAUGAUAUGCACGGGUAGAACACAAAGAGUUCUGGGCGGUGAUAGUCAUACUGCUUACCACCAAUAUCUUAUUUUGAUUCGGCGGUAUUGUGGGAUGAAGCGGUCCGGACCAACAUUACAUGUCCACGCACAUGAGACCGGUUCCACCGACUACAUGCAACUAGUUUUGCAUAAAGGUGGCUGGCGGGUGACUGUUUCUCCUACUUUAGUUGAAUGAGGCGGCAACGAUCGGUGAUGUCGAAGAGCCCAGAACUAGAGUUAAUGUAGAUUCGGGCCAUCAGGGCCAAAGGCACCAGGACGCCGACAAGCCGAAGAUGCUAGAGAGGACGCAACCUUCGGAACGAUUGUGAUAGAGCCACGGCAGCAGAGAAUGACGGCGAGCCAUGGACGCUGGAGAACACAUGCCCAGGGCAGUCGGGGCUGGAGUCGCACUGGCAAGAGGCCUGCCGCGAAGCCUCAUGCGUCCAGCCGCCAAAGGCGACCACAACUAGGGAAUCACCAUGGGGAACCCACCAUAGUCCAGCCCAUAGCCAUGGUUGCAACUCGGAGGGGGGAAACACCACUUCGGCGCCAUCAGAGGGCGGCCCAAGCCAAUCAAGGAGCCAUGCGAAAUCCUAGGAGUUAGUGCGGGCUUCAACGACUACGUCUCUGGUGGCGGCGAGAUGAGGAGGAGGGAGGGGGUAGGUGGUGGCGCAAUUUAGGUUUCCCCUAAUGCCGCCCCUAGAUAAGUACCUAUUGAUAUCCCGACAUUUUGGUAUUGCACUUGGUCUUGAACCUGGGACAUCACUCGUGUGUGUCAUCUACUAUGAUAGCUUUCUUCUUGAUGUCAUAUUGCAGGCUAUCUUGCACUGAGCUUCCCCUUCGCAUGGAAUUCAAAGUAAGUGAACAUUGCUGUACUCUACUCUCCCAAAUAUAGUAAGAAGUGACAUUUAUCUUAGCUCUUUCAAAAAAUGUAUAGAUCUCUCACCAUCUUCUUUGAUAGAAAUGCUAUUCUUUCUUUUACACCCAUUUACUUUUUCAUGAAAAUAAGCAAGGUCUCUAACUCUCUAUACAAGCCACUCUACUCUUCGCCUCAUCUUUUAUGCUCAUAUAACUCUUUUAUUUCACAAAUUUGGGCGAGUAAAGUAUGCAAGCGUUAUCUGAAAUGAAUGAACACAAAUUGUUUGUAGGUGGCUUUUCAAGCCCGCCGUCAAAUCCUAGGGCACUUACUCGAAGCCUCGAAUUAGAGCAAAAAGGGGAUAUGCAACAAAAAUAGCUUUUCUUUCAAUAAUUUGCCCUAGUUACCAUCGACAACUUGGGCUAAGCCAUAGGUCAACACAUCCUCCGAUAGAAAUGGAAGUCGUUGGAUAAUGAGAUUUGCAUUAUCUUUUUUUAAACCCUACCAUAUAUUAAUUAAAUUAUAACAUUCAUACAAUCAUUCAUUACAAAAUUUGCCACGUAGGGCGGAGCAGUAUUCAAAAAAAUACCAUCAGAGCAAUUAUCAAAACUGAACUUUGCAAUCUCGUGAGCCACCGUAUUGGCCCUCCUGUUAAUCUUGUCUAUCUUUAUACCCACCAUCAGCUUAGAGACAUUCAAUGCCUCCUUCUUUAGGUCCACCAGAGUUGACCUGUCAACACGCUCUUUUCCAAACACAAAAGCCACAAAAGAACAACCAGUUUCUAAAAUGAUGGGCUUGUCAAGAGUGAUACCAAUAUACAUGCCAUAGAGGGUCGAUCUUAGUUCCGCUUCCUCGACGCAAUGGCAAGCUCUAAUGUAACCCCAAGAGGAGAUGAUAACUUGUCUAUAAUGGCUCUAAUGACCACCCCCACGCUCGCAGCUUUGAUGGCCUCCACAAAACUUGUGUCGACAUUAAUCUUGAAAAAACCCAAGGUGGGAGGCUUCCAGGAGAUACCAUUCCUCUCCUUAUUAGUGGUUACCUGGAGUUCUUCCACCACUUGCUAACUUUGUUGCACACCGUCACCUGUAUGUUUGCAUGACAAGACGAGAAAGAAGCCCAAUAGUUGCCGCGAUGGAUUCCUUUCCCUUACCAGAAAUCAAAUCAUUCCUCAAGUGUCAAGCUCUCCAGAACAUGAAUAUAGUUUGAUCACGCAUACGCAAAUUUAAUUGAUCCAAUAAAAUAAGAAACCAGUCUGGCCCAAAAUAUUUGAUAAUAUCUUUGGCUGGUAAAUUCCACACUUCCUUCAAAGCCAUACGAAAUGCACGAGUCUUGGGACAAUUUACCAACGCGUGAAAAAUACAUUCAUCUUCAAUACCAUUGAUUGAGCACGUACCUAGAAUAGUUUGAUGGUGUUUUACCCUGUUAACUUGAAUCGCCAAACUAUUAGAAGCAGCCCUCCAAGCAAAGAUUCUAAUUUUCUGGGGGACAUUCGCCUUCCAAAUUAUGUUCCAGAGCCUCCGUUCCCCAUACUAGGAUUCUCGGAUUCACCCUUCGAUUGCUUAAGAAUCAUUGCCAGACUAUACACACUCUUCACCGAGAAUAAACCACUCUUCUCAUGGUGCCACGUAAUAAGAUCUCCCUCACCCAAAGUGAGAGUAUGCAGCUUUAAAAUUUCCUCUGUAUCAUGAGGAUAAAAUAGAUGUCUGAUCAGAUUUUCAUCCCACCUCCUAGAUCCACUCAUGAAUCAGACACCCAUUUAAUCCUCGUUCUGUUCUUCUUGGCAGUAAUGUUUAGGCCAGCUUCCCUAAGAAUCCAACUAUCCCUCAAAAUAUUUAUAGUAGUACCAUCAACAACUCUCCAAAUGAUGCCAUUUUUCAGCAGCUCAAGGCCAUGCAUAAUACCUUGCCAAGUAAGGGGCGUUGCUUGCGGGAAAACAGUAUCAAUAAGAUGCCCAUGAGGAUAAUAUUUAGUUUUCAUCACCUUUCCACACAGAGAAUUUAGAAAAAACAAUAAACGCCAAGCUUGUUUAGCCAAAAGCGCUUGAUUAAAAAACAUAAGGUUGCUGCCCUUGCGAGGAUAUGAGAUUAAAAAAACUGUUAUCAAUACUCUGAAUCAGUUGCCGAACAUGUUACAUGUGCCGUGAAAAAUGUACGAGUUAGAAGCACAAACUGUGAGCUACUACAUCACACGAGCAGACUUACACUAAAAAACAUGUCCUUAAUGAAUUAGUCGUGGUGGCAAACUAAAUGGCACUUAUUAUCAUGUCAACCCCGAUGUGUAAGGUUGUCUAUGGUCAAAACUACUACAUGGUUUAAAAGCCACAAGAAGAUCUUCAAUCAAAGUAACACACAAUUGCAUAUAUAUGACAUCAAAUCUUAUCUCCCAUUCUUCCCACUCAAGACUCAACUCGACCAUGACAGGAUUCUUGCAGUUUUCUGAUAUCUUAAUUUCAUCUUCAAUGGCUUUCAAAGCUGCAUCUACCUAUCGCUAUUUCUCCUUCAACAUGCGCUAACUUUUCAUGCGUCAGACGGUCAACACAACUUAGAAAAUCAAGCAGACUGUUUCGAGAAAUGCUAUAGCUAAGGGAAAUUUCUUACUGGUUCAAGUUUAUGGAAAGAUGCGGCACUAAAUACUUGGCCCGGUGGAAAUCGGGGGCCCAGAGAGUAAAAUAAGCGAGGAGUUAUCUAUGGACAAUGUCCUGUAACCAGCAUCCGUAAUCAGUUGCCAGCAAGUCUAGCAAUUUUGCUAUGUUCCUGGUCUUACAAAAUCAUAGCUUCUUCGAUCCGAAUUAAUUAACACAGUCUUUAUGCAAUAAUAGGCUGUGAAUCAAUUGACGCAGCCUCUAUACAACACGCAGGCUGGAGGAGGAAGUAUGAGAGAGUGAUUUUCACUUGUGGUGUGGUAAGAGAAGCACGUACGUACGGCAUGUCCGCAUGUGCAUAUUAUAUUUUAUCAGCUCUAAUAAACACCCAAGAAUAGGAUAAUAUGAAAUCUUGCAAUGAGACUUGGACACGUCGAUCAAACAGGGGCUAGGGCUUUCAAAAAAGAAAACAGAAGCUAAAGCUAGGGCGCGUGGCCCGCCGACCACCGCAUAUCGCCUCGCCUGCAUCUCACCUUUUCUUUGCAUCGUGAGGAACGUCGGCAUUAUUGGACUUCACCGUCACACUGCCCCACCCAAUCUCCUUCCUGAACCAGCCUUUACACUUGUAUAUUGGUCUCCUACUUGGCCUUCGGUACUUCAUCCGCAUGUGUUGGAUCGAAUCAGCAGCUCGUGAUAUGGGUGAGCAAUCGAGCUUCGCGAAGCUACUACUUUGUACGUGGCGGCAAGGUACGAGCACCGCCGCGCGACGUGUCCCGUUGCUUCUGCCUAUAAAUGCCGCCUGCUCCAAUCUCCUUUCCAACACAAGCAGUCGAUUCAUCCAAGCCAGAGUUGAGCAAUACUAGCAGUGAGAUUUGGCCCUUCCGAUCGAGUGAUUUCAGUUCGUGUUUGUUAGUGAGAGAGAAGACAAGCGGAGAUGGCCUCCAACCAGAACCAGGCGAGCUACAUGGCCGGCGAGACCAAGGCCCGCACCGAGGUAACCGUCGUCUCCUAUAGUGCCUACCACUUCAUCCUGCUGCCGCGCGCAUGCGCCGUUGCUUCCGGCGGUGAUCUGAAAUGCUCUCUUCGUUGUGCAGGAGAAGACCGGGCAGAUGAUGGACAAGGCGGGCCAGGCCACGGAGGCCACCAAGCAGAAGGCCGGCGAGACGGCCGAGGCCACCAAGCAGAAGGCCGGCGAGGCCAAGGACAAGACGGCCCAGACGGCUCAGGCGGCCAAGGACCGCGCCGCCGAGAGCAAGGACCAGACCGGCAGCUUCCUCGGCGAGAAGACUGAGGCGGCCAAGCAGAAGGCGUCGGAGACGGCGCAGUACGCGCAGGAUAGGUCCUCCGACGCCGCGCAGUACACCAAGGAAUCCGCCGUUGCCGGCAAGGACAAAACCGGCAGCGUGCUCCAGCAGGCCGGCGAGACGGUGGUGAGCGCGGUGGUGGGCGCCAAGGACGCGGUGGCGAACACGCUGGGCAUGGGCGGUGACAACACCACCAAGGACACCACCACCAGGAAUCACUAGAUGCAUGCGUUCGCGCUUAAUUUGCUUUCCUUUAGUCGUGUUUGGUCGUUCACGAGCCUUCUACUAUGUUUCCACUCUUUCGUGAUUUUCCGCUCAUUUAGUGUAAGUUUGCCGCCGAUUUGAUCUACCCGUGUCCCGUUCUGUAAUGAGUUACUUAUAAUCCAUGUACUUCACUCGAAGGCGGCAAUAAAGUUAUAUGUGAUCGAAUUUCUUUUGUCACGGUAUCAUUGAAACUUCAAUCCGUUGUUGCCGGACCAACUGAGCAUUGCUCAUAUGGUGAGGUACUGAGGUUCGCUGUGGAGGAACCAAUCCAAUCUAUCGGUUCUUGGCCUUGCAUUCUUCUUAAUUUAUUUCAGGUUUUUUUUUGUGAUUAGACGUCCCGUCGAGAAGAGUCUUUACGGAUUUCGUUAAUCUGAAGAUGUUGUGCUGGCUCGGUAUCUCGAGGUACUAUAAGAGCGUGUGUGUUUGGCUCGGUAUCUCGAGGUACUAAUAAGAGUGCGUGUGUCUGAAGAUGUUGUUCUGACUCGGUAUCUCGCAGGUACUUCCUCCGGUCCUUUUUAGUCUGCAUAUAAGUUUUGUCCGAAGUCAAAAUAUCUCAACUUUAACCAAAUUUAUAAAAAUAAGUAUCAACAUUCACAACGCCAAAUCGACAUUGUUAGAUUAAUUAUGAAAUAUAGUUUCAUAGUACAUAAUUUUGCUAUUGUAGAUGUUGGUAUUUUUUAAUACAAAUUUAAUCAAACUUUGCAAAGUUUGACUUGACAUAAAUCUAAUACACGGAGUAAAAAGGACCGGAGGGAGUACGAAUAAAAGUGUGUGCGUGCGUUUAUAGUGAUGAGUGCGUGCAAUGGCGGAGCUACAGAAAAUAGAUUGGGCGGGCCAACAUGGCUAGAUCUAAAGGGAGACUGUAAUUUUUACCUUUAUGGCCUAGUUUUUACACUCACUCUAGUUUUGGCCCUAUGGCGUGCGGGCCAUGGCACGCUUUUGCUUGUACGUAGCUCCGCCAGUGAGUGCAUGUACAUUAAAAAAAUCAUUAUUGAUGGUUGACUUCGUCAAUCUGAAGAUAUGUGUGCGUGCGUUUAUAGUGGUAAGUGUGUGUAUAUUCAAAAGAAAACAUUGUUGAUGGCUGACUUCGUCGAUCUAAAGAUGUUGUAUAGGCUCGGUAUCUCGGAUGUACUCAUAGGAGUGAGUGUGUGUGUUCAUAGAAGUGAGUGUGUGUACAUUCUAAAGAGAAAGAUGUUGUGCAGCCGAUGACAAAGAUGUUGUGCAGUCCGAUUCAUCUAUGGCCCUAUCGAUAUUCAGAGAUGAAUCACUUGUUCGCUCUCCAUAUGGUCAUCUAGCAUUGGAGAUCAAGUCCCUAAGAUAGAACCAGGUGUUUAUUCCACAAAAGCUUCAUCGUAGUCAAAAUAGAGUAACAGAUUGUUUGACGAGAUAUAGCCAUACAGAGCAUAGCACAACUGUGUGGCUACAUNNNNNNNNNNNNNNNNNNNNNNNNNNNNNNNNNNNNNNNNNNNNNNNNNNNNNNNNNNNNNNNNNNNNNNNNNNNNNNNNNNNNNNNNNNNNNNNNNNNNNNNNNNNNNNNNNNNNNNNNNNNNNNNNNNNNNNNNNNNNNNNNNNNNNNNNNNNNNNNNNNNNNNNNNNNNNNNNNNNNNNNNNNNNNNNNNNNNNNNNNNNNNNNNNNNNNNNUCACAAAAAGAGAGAGAUGUUGUGCCGGCUCGGUAUGUCGAAAAUACUCAUAGGAGUGUAUGUGUUCCUAUUCAUAGGAGUGAGUGUGUGUACGUUGGAAAAAUUUAAUUGUUGCCGGAAGAUUUGCGUUUAUGGGGCCUCCUUCAGUUCUUGCUAGACUGCUCUGCAAAAGAAAAGUCCCAGCCUUUUCACUAGAUAUAAGCAUACGCAAAGCUUGCAAAUACUUUCAUUGAUAGCUCAUUGAUAAAAAAAAAUCACUAGAUGAGCAUUAUUAUUUUGGUGAAUGCGCAGAGUUUGGAAAUAAAAAAGAAUACAUAAAGGGUACAACACAAAUGCAAAAAAGAGAUAUGAUAUGCUCGGUUGAAACAAAGCUAAACACAGCUAAACCCAUUAAGCCCAUAUUCCAACCAUGGAAGGCGAGGAGCCUCGAGAGUGCCUAUAGAGAUCAACACAUAGGGUGUUGGAGCCAUGAAAUGCAAGGAGCAUCAAGACUACCUAGAGAUGGGCUAAUAGGCUGCGGAACACGCCAUUGAGAGUGCCUAGAGAUCGGAGACAGAAGCAUCCAGAGUGCCUAGAGAUCGGCAAGUAGGCCGCACAACCCGCCAUCGAGAGUGGCUAGAGACCGGAGACAGAAGCCAUGGGAAAAAUGUCGGUGAAGUAGUACAUGACGCCCCAGAUAUCCAUGCCUUUAGAGGUAACCCGAAUCAACAUGGCGUCCAAUAUCCCUAGAUCGAUCAUCGGGGAUACCACGUGCGAACAAGACAACACCUUCAAAAGGGAGAACAACGCGAUGUCGUCAUCUGGUCCGAAGGACCAGACCUAGGGUUCCCUUAGUGGUCGAAGAGGGGCACACAUAAAUGACAUGGCAAUGCCUCUAAGAAGGAGACGACACUCGUGAGUGUCGCCGCUACCAGCAUUGGCAAGCUGAGCAGGGCUUUCUCCCUGACCUGAGUCCAAGCAAUCUCAUAGCCAUCAGAACAAGAUCCGGAUACAAGAAAAUCAAGUCAUUAGUCAGAACCACCACCACAAGAAGGGACUUGCACCCGCAGUAACAAGGUUGUGCUGGCCCCGCCGGACACGUGGGCCUUGGAUAUGGCAGAGGAUGGGGCAAGAAGGUGGAUGGGGUUGGGAGGCUGCGGGGCAGAGAGGGUUGUUGAAGGAUGCAGCGGCGACCGGUGAUGUCGUCAAGUAAGGAAUCGGAGGGAACGCAGAGCCGGGCCGUCGGGGCCAACGCCAUCAGGAUGCCGACGAGCCAAGAUGAAUUGGAUCUGCCCCUUUGGGUCUUUUUAUAUUGGUAUAGAUGUAUAGAUCUCUCAUUAUCUUCUCUGAUAGAAAUGUUAUUCUCUCUUUUACUGACAUUUGCUUAGCAGGGUCUCUAACUCUAUAUAGCAGCCACUCUACUCUUGGCCUCCUCUUUUCUGCUAAUAUAACUCUUUCAUUUCACGAAUUUAGGUCAGUAAAGGAUGCAAGUGUUAUCUGAAAUGAAUGGAUGUAAAGCGCUUGUAUGUGGCUUUUCAAGUCUGCCGUCAAAUCCAAAGCACUUGAUCGAAUUAGAGCAAAAUAGGGAUAUGCAAUGCAAUAGCUUUUCUUUCAAUAGUAUCCCCUAGUGACCAUCGACAACCUGGGCUAAGCCACGGGUCAACAUAUCCUCCGAUAGAAAUAGAAGUCUUUGGAUAGUGGAUUUGCAGUAUAUUAACAAUUUGAACAGAGAACUACAAAUAUCUUCGUAUGAUUGUAGCUCCCUUUCAAUAUAAACAGCUUCCAACCGCAAGCAAAAUCCCAAUAGACGUCGUCAUCGUAGAAGACCAUUAACUUCCGGCCACGUACGGAAUCAAGCGUAUGCAUAAUCUGAGGAGAAGAAAUAUUUUCUUAAAAGCUUUCUGAAACAAUGACUAGCACAAGGUUACUGCCUUUGCUCAGAUAAAAAAUCUUUUAUUAAUUCUCCAAACUAGUUGCCGAACAUGUUACAUGUGCCACAAAGAGUGUAUAAGUUAGAACCUACAGAACUAUGAACUACAUCGCAGGAGCCGACUUGCACUAGAAAACAUAUGCUUAAUGAAUUCGUCGCGGUGGCAAAAUAAAUGAUACUUACUAUCAUGUCAAUCCCGGUGUGUAAGGUUGUCUAUAAUCAAAAUUACUCCAUGUUUUCGAAGCCAGAAGAUCUUCACUCAAAGCGGUAGGGGCGCUAGGCUAGACGCACGCCCAGGCAAACAGCAGAGCAACAAUGUCAAACAACUAGAUCGGAAACGCGCCUUGGCGCGAGGGUGCCGGUCACAACAAUGUGUCCAAGCAGAAAUUGCUCAAUUUAGUAGGAGGUCGGAUUUAGCGACGUAUUCAAACAGGAUACAACAAACUAAAAGGAAGAGGAAACAUUCACAUGUAAUAGGAGGAAAACAUCAUCGAGAUUGACAUCGGCAUGAGAAAUAAGGCAGCAUUCAAUUUAGUGCGUUCAUGAGACCACAAAAGGUAACCACUUGAUAUUAAGCUCGGUACUAAGAGCGUGAAUAUGAGAGAGGAAGUACCAAGAGCAGGAACACAAUAUAAAUAAAUAAAAACUACGUAGCCAUAGCUUCUUGGGCAUACUACUUAGUUGCUUCAUUCGGCUGCCUUCUCGAUCAACUUCAUAGAUGGCACGUCAAUUAACCUGAUGCAGGCAAUGUGUUCGAUAUAUUGCAUAGACCAAUUUAUGUGGAGACAAAAAAUGCACUUGCAUUUUUGUACCUUAGCCUUUUAAAGCUUAUAACCAGGGAGUGAUGGUUCCCCUUUUCAAUUUUGAAAGCAAAGACACAUAUGAUACUCUCUGAUCCCUGCCGCUUUGACAGAGCUUGACCAAUUGUUUGUUAUUGUUGGUCUCUUGUCCGUAUCCAGGUGCACUCAUCCAACCCGGUAAUACAACCAUUGAAGCAUUGCAUAUAAAACAUGGCAUUAUCUAUGAACUGACCCACUACUACAAUGCCUCUCAAUUAUGAUGUGGACUUAAUCAAAGUGGUGCUACUUGCCCAACCCCAACUCCCACAGAAUCCCGUUUUUCCUAACCCGGUAAUAGAAAAAAAUAGGUAUCUCAGGAUGGAAAUGUAGGGACUAUCUCAGGAUAGAAAUGUAUCAAGGAAUUAAUGAACUAAGUUCAAUGAUCAAACCUCUGAUAUAAAUAUUUCAAUUAACAUCUGAUAUUACUCAGUAUAUCUCAGGAUGGAAAUAUAUCUGAGUAGGUGAUGGUAGAUACUCACAGUAGUAAUCACCCCGUAAAAUAUAUCUAAAAAGAUGACCCUAUAUAUGCAUGCCAUCGACGCAUUUGUUAUUAAAUAUGACGUGAAAUACCUUGCUUUGGUAUGAUAGAAACCAAAAGAUAAAUAUCAUGCAUUUAUUUGUUUGGCCAGACCUUUUGCCCAAAGAAACUGAAUCUCUCAUCACAACAAAGUUCAAGUAAACUGCAAAUUUGCACUACGAUGGGCGAGUGGAUAAGAGACAGAGAACUAUAGCAGCACAAUAAGCCUCUGAAGCAAAGAAGGAGGCUCAGUGAUGACAUUGACAGCCUUGUCAUACAACGACAAAAAUGGCUUGAGCUGUUCAAAAAAAAUGAUGAAAUCAAAAUGGGGGAGUAAUUUAUUUAGGCAAACACUGAAUCAAAAUCUUAGUGGUUGGUUUACCGACAACCAGUAUAUGAGGUAUGUUUAUUAUUUAUGGGACUUGUCCAUUUAAGCCUUAAUAUCCCAAUUACGGAUAUUUUGGUAAUUUAUAUGACGCACUGUAAAAAUAUUAAGCACUCACAAUUGAUUAUUUCCUAAUUGGUCACCUAAACACCCUUUAAUAUACUGUGACAAGUAAUGUUAUAAGUCAUCAAGCUCUUUAUGAUAUUUUCUACUUCAGAUUCCAAGUCGCAUUAAAUGAGUGCACAAAAGAGAAUAUAAAAAUAAAAAGGCUCAAGGUACUUCUGACAGAACUCAUCUCAGUGUUAUUUUGGUAUAUAGCUUAAGCCCUGGAUCAACUAAGCUAGCAUGGUAGAUUUUUCUUCUUAAUGAAAGCACAUAUAUGUAAGAGCAUGCAGAAAGGGUCAAAGAGCUAGAAUCCUAUAAAAUACAGAAUCCAUCUUUCGACACAGGGAACAAUUAUAUUUAUAUUUGAUACAGAACAUGCACUUGUGAAUUGGCAGGUAAUAUGAAGGUCAUGUAUGGGAAUUUUACCUUCGCUUUCAGUGACACAUAUCAGAUCAUCUUCCCCUCGACCCUUUCAUGAUGUGGUUGCUGCCGGUGCUCUAGGAAUAACAAAGUUGUUUUAAUAGUAAUUUUGGAAAACACAUGGUGAUUGGGAAAAGCAAAGUUUAAAUCACAUAACAGAUCAAGUUCAAUUAAUAUGGUGUCAUAAUCAGAAACUUUCUAUACUACCAUAUAAGCAUCUUUGAAAGAUCAAAAGAUCAAGAACAACUUAUAUGCAAUAAAGGUACGAGAGAGAAGAAAUCUUUACAUAAGACGGCUAUAAACACUGGAGCAUAAAUAAGCAACACCUUUAAAUACAAAUAAAAAGGGUUCAGGGUUCAAUGCAUAGUGGGCUCAGAUUCGCCUUUCCUCGAUCAUAUAACCUACCCCCGUCAUCUCUUAUCACCAGAUCAAUCUGUUUAUACAGUUGAGCUGCCCUGGUUAUCACUCAACAAGAUUGACCAUCCAAGGGCAGAACAGUAAGUAUCACAGGAUGAAAAGGAUUCUAGAGACAACCGCUCACCUCCUCCAUGGUGCUCGGCAGAGGGAGCCAAUAUGGCACUGCAGAUUUUCAAGUUACCAAGGCCAUCAGGAAGAGACAAAUGUAUGUGGUUGAAUAAUAAAAAAAUAACAAAGAACGUUGCCAUUGGGACUGAGCCGACCUACUGGUGCUACUUCUCACCAUGGUACACAAGGCAGCCAGCCCUGGCAUCUACGGAAAUGAAAGGAAAGUGCAAAAAAAGUAAGAACAUAGAAAAGCCAGAAAAGUAAGAACAAAGUGUGACUGAUAUCUACUUAUCCCAGGUUAACAAUUUGGGUUCGAUGAAAGUGUGAGUGUAUGCUCUCGGUUUCUUCUAGAUUAAUAGAAUGGACAUGACAAACAAGACACUGGCAUAUUUUUCAAAUGACUACUAAUAUUGAGUACUGCAUUAGAUACUUUCAGAUUAUGCUAAGAGACCAGACCAUGUACAACUACCUGGCUAAUGACGAUUGCCUACCUUCAUAAUUGCCUAUUGCCUUGAGCUCACACCAAGAUUAGUACCUGCAAAUAACACAUAGACAAUUUAGUGUCAAGGCAAAGACAAAGAAAAGAAAAAUGAAAUAAGGGAAUAUAAAUACUCAUUAUGUAACAAAACCUAAUAACCAGUUGUAGAUGCUAAAAAACUGUUUGUCUAAGUGUUCAAACUGAGGACUUUUGAAGGUCACCUGCUCUGAUAGGUAAAGGCGCUGACGAUUCUUAUAGGUAGUCUGCUCACACAGAAGACCCCACCUGUUUCCAAUCAAACCAAUAGAUCAACAAAUAAUUAGUUGCAAAACCACUAUUGAAGGCAAAACUGAACCACUAUUUAAGUCAAAACUACUGCAAAACCAAACCAGCAUGCUUUCAAACAGAAUGCCACCACUCUGGAACAUUAUUAGCUUCAAAGUACCCGGUGGUGAGUAAGAAUGCACCAGAGCCGAUGCUCAAAAAAGAAUAUCAUCAAAUCAUGCGGGGCGGUCUUAAACUCUACUCCAUGGUAGACAAACAUCAAGUGAUUGAAAUGCAGCAGAGUCCCUGCAGUACUUACCUAGCUAGCUGAGAGCGAGUGAUGCCCAGGCUGCAUCAUCGAUGAGACAAGAGGUGCGCCUUGACCUGGUGCUGUACCCCAGGGUUGAGAGCUCAAGAAGGAACAGAUGUUGGUUGNNNNNNNNNNNNNNNNNNNNNNNNNNNNNNNNNNNNNNNNNNNNNNNNNNNNNNNNNNNNNNNNNNUAAUUAACCUGUAAAACAAGGGGGGGGGGGGAUGUAGUUAUUGACAGGGAGAAGCAUUCCAUGUACAUAUAUACAUAAUUUAAAGGAAAACGGCGAGAAACAAUGAAGGCGUGUGUUUAUAAGAAGACACACAAGCAUGAUGUUGUGUUUGAUAGCCAUUAAAAACUCAACAGCAUAUAACAACAAAGCUUAUUUUGCCCUUUUGUUUAUAAUUACCUAUAAAUGAUGCUACCAUAGGCCUAUUUACCCAAAAAAACAUAUCAAUGUGCAACAUUUUUUUUACCUAGUUUCCUCCACAAUUUCUACUUAGGCUCAUAGCUCUACUGAAAUCUUUUUCUCGGAGUUUGGUUUUGUGUUCUGCUCAAUUAUAUUCAGGGUGUCCUGGAAUAAUGAAUUCAAUUUAAAAGACAGUUUACUUUAAGUGAUUAUACAUGCGAAGGGCGGGUGGCGCGCGGCAAUCUGAAGAGAAUAUUUCACAAAAAAAAAAAAAAAAAAUCACAGCAGGUAUAAUUCAUCUUAUAGUUAUUUCAGUAUAAUAUGGUAGAUCCAGUCAAGAAGUAGAUGCAUUGCAAUCUGAAACGUUUGAUAUGGUGUGACCAUAAUAUAGAGAUCUUAAGGUACCUGGUGAGUCCUUUUAACAGAAGACAAAUUUAGAUAGACAUGUACAAAAAUGCGAGAGUAACAUUUAUACAAGCAUCUAUGGGAGGGACAAGUCCUAUGGUUUUGUUGACAUUGUACGUUUAGAACAGGGCAGAUACCUGUAUUGCAUAGAUUCUUUGUAUAUUUUGGUCAUUAGAUUGUUUGUCUGGUUGGACUGAAGGCACAGACAAAGAUACAAGGAUGUACAUGGCCAUUUAGAAUAGGGCAGUAUGGCACAAACCAGUAUUCCAUAGAUGUUGUUGACAACCCCUCAUCUCACCUUUCAGUCUGCAAAAUAAGAGGCAAUCGAGCUUGAGAAAGAGAUGGACUUUAGGCCAUCGGCGGUCACUAUGGCGAAUUUGCUCAAGAGCUGGCCAACCCUGGGUACGACAAAUUCAACAAUCAGCACUCCGUAUAAAAUAGUCUGAAGAGGCUUAUCUCUCUACAGGAAUUGAGUAAGGAGACAGUCAUACCAUACACUUUGUAGAGUUCUACGAUUCUGCUGUCCAACUUGACGGCAGGCCGUCCUUCUGCACGAACAUACAGAGACUUAGGAAUUCCAUACACAAUUAGCUAUCUUUUCUUUCAUUGGCCAGUGCACCUAACUCGUGUACAAAAUGUGAUUUCAGUGAAUUCAAAAGAAUCAGCAGAUUGAAGAAUGGAUGCCCACCUGUUGAGACCGUGGCGUCCUUCUCUAUGAUUUUCUGGAGGAUACUAACAGAUUACUACUUCUCCAGUAUCGAUCGUCCAUUCUACCCAAUGAAAUCUCCCAUUCCCAAAAGCAGAGCCAACGACAGUAACUUAUGGAACUAUGAAUCCACAGAAUAGCCAUAGCUUUGCUGGUAUUCAUCAGAGUUGCCUGCUGCCUAAUCAACAAUCCCAUUCCCAAAAGCAGACGGCACCAACAGCAAGGAACGAAAACAAAAUUCACAGAUUUUGCACAGCUUUGCUAGUACGUAUUCAUCAGAGUUGCCCUCUAUCUGCGGAUCGUGGCCGACUAAUCAGCAACACUGCAGGCUCUCAGGCUUGCACGCCAAAAAAGGGUAAUCCCCCGUGCCGGACAAUUUCGCUGCUCACGCCCGCCCCACUGACAGUCGCUAGCUAAAGCUGCACCGCACAGAACCCAUCGCCACGAGCCGACGAGCGGUCGAGCGAGGAGGAGCAGGGGAGGGGAGGGGUGGCUGCUCACGGGGAGGUAGUCGGCGAGGUGGGGCACGUCGUCGAGGACGUAUCCGAAGACGCCCUCGGAGAUCUUGACGUAGGCGGUGUUGGUGAGGCUGUCGUUGGAGGCGUUGUGGAGGGCGUGGAGGUUGGGGUAGGAGUCGCGGGAGAUCCGCACGCACAUGGCGGAGGAGGUCAGCGCCGCCUUGGCCUGCUGCUGCCGCUCCCCGCCGCCGCCGCCGUCGUGCUCCUCGUCCUCCCUCCGCUGCUGCUCGUCGCCCAAGGCCUACUGCUGCGCCGCCUUGGCCUGCUGCUGCUGCUCCGGCGCGGUUCGAGGCGGUGGGUGGCGGCGGCGGCGAUGUGGGUGGGAGGAGAGGAGGCGGGAGGGGAGGGGAGGGGAGAGGAGGCGCGCGGGAGGGGAGGGGAGGCGGCGGCGAGCUGGGAGGGCGGGGGAGGCGCGAGUGCGGGAGGGAGGUGACGGCUAGGUCAUCCCACGGCAGCGCCCCCUUUUUAUACCCAAUAGUCAAAUGACUAAAAUGCCCUCGGGGGGCGGCGCUGGAAUCACAGGCGGUGGCACGAACGAUGGAGAACUAUUCAUUGUAGCAGGGUUCGUUUUUUGAUCCAACGGCCGAUAUCUUCCCAGAGCGAGAUCCGACAGCCGAAAACGCAUCAAACAAAAGAUCCGACGGCCAGAAAUCGCUGAGCUCUGAGAACACUCAUGUUCUCCCAACUAACAUAGUUCUGGAUGUUGAACAAUGAACAAAGAAAGGGAUCAUCACGCCCCAGGCCACGGGCCUUGCUGCCUGGGGCCUGACGCCACAACUGACUGAAAGUAACACACACAGCUGCACACACGACACCAAAUUUGAUCUCCCAUUUUCUCCAAUCAACUCGACCAUGCCAUGAUUCUUGCAGCCUCAUGGUAUCUUAAUUUGAUUUCCCGUGGCUUUCGAAGCUACAUCUAUCUCGCGCUAUUUUCCCUUCAGCGUGCGCCAACUUCUCGCGUGUCAGACGGCCAUCCAUCAUACGCCACGUUCAUUGAGGCACAACUUAGAAAAUCGAGCAAACCAUGGCUCAAUUCUUUUGGCCGGUUUUCCCAGGAUCUUGAGAAUCAGACCUCCUCCUAAAUAGCUAGGAGUAUAAAAAAUGAUCAAGAUUCUGAGAAAAUCUAAGAGGAAGUUUGAUUCUUAAGAUUCCGGCAGAAUUAGCCAAAAUAAACUAGGCCCGUGCUUAAAAAAUCUAGGCCUAUGUUAUGCGCUUAAAAAAUUGUACUAUGAGGAGGGUGGUUUCGACUUGUGGUAAGAGCAAGUACAAUAGGGUGACAUAAGCAGGCUAUAAGGAAUAGAAUAAUAUAUCUUUGCUUAGUUGAAGAGAGAGAAGAGGGGAGAGAAGAGAAGCGGACUCUUGGUUAGUAGCCAGCUGCAACACGUGAUCCAAGACGCUUUGUGAGAAACUGAGAAUGUAAGGUGGACCAACUAUUGAUAAACUGGCGCGUUAUACAUGCCGGCUAAGUGGUUGGUUGUAGAUGACAUGACAACUUCUUAUAGUCGACCGUUGGCUGUAUUAUUAACCAUGAUCUAGGAAAGCACGGCAUGGGCACAUAAUAUUAUAUAUAUAUAUAUGAAAUCUUGUAAUAAGACUUGGCCACGUCGAUCUAACAGGGGCUAGAGCUUUGAAAAAAGAAAACAGAAGCUAAAGCUAGGGCGCGUGGCCCGCCGACCACCUCAUAUCCUACUUGUAGUACAUUUCUACCUUUUCUUUGCAUCGUGAGUAACGUCGGCAUUGGACUUCACCGUCACACUACCCCACCCAAUCUCCUUCCUGGACCUGUCUUUACACUUGUGUUGGUCUCCUACUUGGCCUUCGGCACCGGCGUCCGCAUGUGUUGGAUCGAAUCAGCAGCUCGUGAUAUGGGUGAGCAAUCGAGCUUCGCGAAGCUACUUUCUAUACGUGGCGGCCAUGUACGAGCACCGCCAAGCGACGUGUCCCGUUGCUUCUGCCUAUAAAUGCCGCCUGCUCCAAUCUCCUUUCCAACACAAGCAGUCGAUCGAUUCAUCCAAGCCAGAGUUGAGCAAUACUAGCAGUGAGAUUUGGUCCUUCCCAUCAGUUCGUGUUUGUUAGUGAGAGAGAAGACAAGAGGAGAUGGCCUCCAACCAGAACCAGGCGAGCUACAUGGCCGGCGAAACCAAGGCCCGCACCGAGGUAACCGUCAUCUCCUAUAGUGCCUACCACUUCAUCCUGCUGCCGCGCGCAUGCGCCGUUGCUUCCGGCGGUGAUCUGAAAUGCUCUCUUCGUUGUGCAGGAGAAGACCGGGCAGAUGAUGGACAAGGCGGGGCAGGCCACGGAGGCCACUAAGCAGAAGGCCGGCGAGACGGCCGAGGCCACCAAGCAGAAGGCCGGCGAGGCCAAGGACAAGACGGCGCAGACGGCACAGGCAGCCAAGGACCGCGCCGCCGAGAGCAAGGACCAGACAGGCAGCUUCCUCGGCGAGAAGACGGAGGCGGCCAAGCAGAAGGCCGCCGAGGCAACAGAGGCGGCCAAGCAGAAGACGUCGGAGACGGCGCAGUACGCGCAGGAGCGGUCCUCCGACGCCGCACAGUACACCAAGGAAUCAGCCGUCGCCGGCAAGGACAAGACCAGCGGCGUGCUCCAGCAGGCCAGCGAGACGGUGGUGAACGCCGUGGUGGGCGCCAAGGACGCGGUGGCGAACACGCUGGGCAUGGGCGGCGACAACACCAACACCGCCAAGGACACCACCACCGAGAAGAUCACCAGGGAUCACUAGCUAAUUUGCUUCCUUUACUCGUUUGGUCGUUCGCGGGCCUUUUACAUAAUUGUAGGUUUCCCUCUUGUGUGAUUUCCGCCCAUUUGGUGUAAGUUUGCCUUCGAUUUGAUGUACUCGUGUCAGGUUCUGUAAUGAAUUACUUAGAGCAACUCCACCGCGUCGACUCAAGAUACGCGUUUUGUCCGUUUUUUGUCCAUUUGGCAUGGCCGGCCAGGCGAACGGACGCGUUCAUUUUUUCAUUUGGAUCAGCUGGUGCGUUCAACGGAGGCCGACCCAAAUUUACCCGCGUCCGAAAAAAAACAGUUGUAGAAAUAAACAUAAUAAAACAUUAAAUGAUCAGUCAACCGCCAGCCAAAGUCCACUUAAAACGUAAUUAAAUAUUAAUUGAAACAUAAAAAAAAUUGCGCCCGCACGCUGCUCUAAACAUCCGCCUUGCCCUUGCCGUCGUCAUCACCCUGGUGAGGUCGAUGAAGACGGGAACCGGGCCAGCCCACCGAACGCCGCUUGGUAGGCUGCCAGGACAGCCUCCUCCGACGUCUGCUGGGACACCUGCGGCUCGCCGGGCGCGCUCCUCCUUCUCCGCAAGCCGCGGUGCCUCCUCGUCACGGCGCAGCUGCUGCUCCCGGCGCAUCUGCCGCUCGCCAUCGUUCCCCUCCUCGGCGAGCCAGUGCACCUUCCAGCGCUCAAGGUGGGCCACCUCCUCCUCCGGCAUCGCGGCGUAGUGCACCGGAGGCGCGCUCACCCACUCGCGUAGCUUGCCGGUUCACGUGUAGGGCUCCUCCGGCCAAGUGGGCGGAGGCGACGAGCGCUUCCGUGUUGGCAUGGGCUCCGGCUUCGCCUUGGGCUCGACAAUUGGUAGCGGUGGCGGAGGCGGGACGAAGAGCGGGGCGUGAAUGGAGUCCCCCACCGUCAACAAGGCGAGGGCGCGCUCCAGCCCAUCCCAUUGGGCCUCCUCCUCGAUCCUGCUCGCCUCCAGCGCGUGCUGUAGGGCUAGCUCGAGGGCGGCUUGGUACGCCGCCUCUUCAUCCUCCUCCUCUGGCAGAACCUCAGGCGGUGGCGGAGGAACGUUGUGGUCGACGUGGACGCCCCGGCGGUGCUCCUCCUCGUGCUCUAGCGCGAACUAGUGCUCCUAGUUGGGGGAGUCUGGCGCGUAGGCACGCAUCGCCUGCUGCUCCGAAGUGAGGGCCUCGCGAUGCUGGCGAACCUCCUCGGCGUGCGCCUGCGCCGUGCAUGGCACUGCCGGAAUGGGGAUCCGCUGCGGAUCUAGAUGCCAACCGUGCGGCAGGCUGACAUCCGGAUACUGCAGUGGCUGACGACGGUACUGCCGAUGCCACCGCGUCUAGUGGACUGGUAUGUACAAACGCUGCCGCUCCGAUGGCGAGCCGCGUCUAGCAGGCGGUGGAGGAGGUGCUCGCGCCAGUGAGCCACGGGAAGAGCUCGCGCCGGCGCUGAGCUUCCCCCUCCCCUUCCCGUUGAAAAGCCCCAGGCUUGCUAGGGUUCUUGGUCUCCGGCGAGGGAGCACCGCGUGGCUAGUUGUGGACGGGUCUUUGAUAACCCACAAGUAUAGGGGAUCGCAACAGUUUUCGAGGGUAGAGUAUUCAACCCAAAUUUAUUGAUUCGACACAAGGGGAGCCAAAGAAUAUUCUCAAGUAUUAGCAGCUGAGUUGUCAAUUCAACCACACCUGGAUAACUUAGUAUCUGCAGCAAAGUGUUUAGUAGCAAAGUAAUAUGAUAGUAGUGGUAACGGUAACAAUAGUAACGGUAGCAAAAGUAAUAUUUUUGGUGUUUUGUAGUGAUUGUAACAGCAGCAACGGAAAAGUAAAUAAGCGAAGAACAAUAUGUGAAAAGCUCGUAGGCAUUGGAUCGGUGAUGGAGAAUUAUGCUGGAUGCGGUUCAUCAUGUAACAAUCAUAACAUAGGGUGACACAGAACUAGCUCCAAUUCAUCAAUGUAAUGUAGGCAUGUAUUCCGAAUAUAGUCAUACGUGUUUAUGGAAAAGAACUUGCAUGACAUCUUUUGUCCUACCCUCCCGUGGCAGCGGGGUCCUAAUGGAAACUAAGGGAUAUUAAGGCCUCCUUUUAAUAGAGUACCGGAACAAAGCAUUAGCACAUAGUGAAUACAUGAACUCAUCAAACUAUGGUCAUCACCGGGAGUGGUCCCGAUUAUUGUCACUUCGGGGUUGCCGGAUCAUAACACAUAGUAGGUGACUAUAGACUUGCAAGAUAGGAUCAAGAACUCACAUAUAUUCAUGCAAACAUAAUAGGUUCAGAUCUGAAAUCAUGGCACUCGGGCCCUAGUGACAAGCAUUAAGCAUAGCAAAGUCAUAGCAACAUCAAUCUCAGAAGAUAGUGGAUACUAGGGAUCAAACCCUAACAAAACUAACUCGAUUACAUGAUAGAUCUCAUCCAACCCAUCACCGUCCAGCAAGCCUACGAUGGAAUUACUCACGCACGGCGGUGAGCAUCAUGAAAUUGGUGAUGGAGGAUAGUUGAUGAUGACGAUGGCGACGAAUCCCCCUCUCCGGAGCCCCGAACGGACUCCAGAUCAGCCCUCCCGAGAGGUUUUAGGGCUUGGCGGCGGCUCCGUAUCGUAAAACGCGAUGAAUUCUUCUCUCUGAUUUUUUUCUCCCCGAAAGCAAAUAUAUAGAGUUGGGGUUGAGGUCGGAGGAGCUCCAGGGGGCCCACGAGGUAGGGGGCGCGCCCCCACCCACAUGGACUGGGUGUGGGCCCCCUGGUCUUCAUCUUUUGCAAGGAUUUUUUAUUAUUUUCAAAUAGACGUUCCGUGGAGUUUCAGAUCAUUCCGAGAACUUUUGUUUCGUCACAUAAAUAACACCAUGGAAAGUCUGCUGAAAACAGCGCCAGUCCGGGUUAGUUCCAUUCAAAUCAUGCAAGUUAGAGUCCAAAACAAGGGCAAAAGUGUUUGGAAAAGUAGAUACAACGGAGACGUAUCAACUCCCCCAAGCUUAAACCUUUGCUUGUCCUCAAGCAAUUCAGUUGAUAAACUGAAAAUGAUAAAGAAAAACUUUUACAAACUCUGUUUGCUCUUGUUGUUGUAAAUAUGUUAAGCCAGCAUUCAAGUUUUCAUCAAAGAUUAUGACUAACCACAUUCACAAUAACUCUCAGGUCUCAUGUUUACUCAUAUCAAUGGCAUAAUCAACUAGCGAGCGAUAAUAAUAAAUCUCGGAUGACAACACUUUCUCAAAACAAUCAUGAUAUGAUAUAACAAGAUGGUAUCUCGCUAGCCCUUUCUGAGACCGCAAAACAUAAAUGCAGAGCACCUUUAAAGAUCAAGGACUGACUAGACAUUGUAAUUCAUGGUAAAAGAGAUACAAUCAUAGUCAUACCCAAUAUGAAUUAACAGUAAUGGAUGCAAAUGACAGCUGGGCUCUCCAGCUAGUGCUUUUUAAUAAGAGGGUGAUGACUCAACAUAAAAGUAAAUAGAUAGGCCCUUCGCAGAGGGAAGUAGGGAUUUGUAGAGGUGCCAGAGCUCGGUUUUGAAAUAGAGAUAAAUAAUAUUUUGAGCGGCAUACUUUCAUUGUCAACAUAGCAACCAAGAGAUGGCGAUAUCUUCCAUGCUACACACAUUAUAGGCGGUUCCCAAACAGAAUGGUAAAGUUUAUACUCCCCCUCCACCAACAAGCAUCAAUCCAUGACUUGCUCGAAACAACGAGUGUCUCCAACUAGCAACAGUCCCAGGGGGGUUUUGUUUGCAAUUAUUUCGAUUUAGUUUGCAUAAAGCAUGGGACUGGGCAUCCCGGUGACCAGCCAUUUUCUCGUGAGUGAGGAGCGGAGUCCACUCCUCUUGAGAAUAACCCGCCUAACAUGGAAGAUAAGGGCAGCCCUAGUUGAUACAUGAGCUAUUCGAGCAUACAAAACAAAAUGUUUAUUUGAAGGUUUAGAGUUUGGCACAUACAAAUUUACUUGGAAUGGCAGGUAGAUACCGCAUAUAGGAAGGUAUAGUGGACUCAUAUGGAAUAACUUUGGGGUUUAAGGGAUUUGAUGCACAAGCAGUAUUCCCGCUUAGUACGAGUGAAUGCUAGCAAAAGACUGGGAAGCGACCAACUAGAGAGCGACAACAGUCAUGAACAUGCAUUAAAAUUAAUAAACAUUGGAUGCAAGCAUGAGUAGGAUAUAAUCCACCAUGAACAUAAAUAUCGUGAAGGCUAUGUUGAUUUUGUUUCAACUACAUGUGUGAACAUGUGCCAAGUCAAGUCACUUAAUCAUUCAAAGGAGGAUACCACCCCACUAUACCACAUCACAACCAUUUUAAUAGCAUGUUGGCACGCAAGGUAAACCAUUAUAACUCAUAGCUAAUCAAGCAUGGCACGAGCAACUAUGAUCUCUAAUUGUCAUUGCGAACAUGUUUAUUCAUAAUAAGCUGAAUCAAGAACGAUGAACUCAUCAUAUUUACAAAAACAAGAGAGGUCGAGUUCAUACCAGCUUUUCUCAUUUCAGUCAGUCCAUCAUAUAUCUGUAGGAGAUAUGCCCUAGAGGCAAUAAUAAAUGUUAUUGAUUAUCUCCCUGUUCAUAAUUAUGUUUAUGUUCCAUGCUAUAACUGCUGUGGUUCCCGAGCCCGUAUAUCCAUAAAGGCUCUGGGGAGAACCCAUAUGCACGUGUGGAAUAAUAAACGAUAAAAUGUAUUCCUAGUCAUGCCUCUAAGACUAGCUCAAGUGUUGCAUGAUGAUUAUGUUUUCCCAAUCAUGGGCAUGUCUAUGCCAAGCAACUUUGAGGGCACAAUGUCAGGAAGGACAUUUGUGUUGAAUCGACCCGAAUUGAUGUUAUGCUAUGAGAUACAUUCGUCACAAGUUUAUUGGUACAUAACACAGAGAUGGUUAAUGUUUGCAUGAUUCCUUAGACCAUGAGAGUAUCGAGUUUCUUCAUGCUUGCUUCAUGAACUUUGGGGUUUGUUAAACGUCAUCCGUAAAUGGGUGGCUAUUACGGCGGCUUACGGGUUCAUGGAAAAGUGUGUCAAGUAACUUGAUAGCUCAAGAUUGGGAUUUGCUCCUCCAACGAUGGAGAGAUAUCUCUGUGCCCUCUCGGUGUUACGGUAUCCAUCAUCGUCUGGCCAGACACUUUGUGAUUUGAUCACGGGGAUGCCGGAACACGAUAACGAGAAAAGAGAACAAUACCGGUAACGAGGUAACUAGCAUAGUGGACAAGUUGUUGAUCCACGGGAAUGCCAACAUGUCUCACCUCGGGUAUUUGUAACAUAUCGCGAAGCAACAGGAAUAGCACACGGCAACUGGAGGUUCACUCGAAUAUUUAUUCGUGUGGGUAUAGGGGUCAAUAUGGGUGUCCACGGCUCCGAUGUUGAUCAUUGAUCGGAAGGGGUUCCGGGUCAUGUCUAUACUUCACCGAACCUAUAGGGUCACACGCUUAAGGGUCAUCUAUCUGCUGAAUACUAGACAGGGAGUCUGAGAGAAAAUCACCGAAAAAGUUUCGGACAGCGGAAUCGUACCGCAGAGAGAGGGCAUCGGAUAAGUUUCGAUGAUACCGAAAAGUUGUUUCGGGAUACACCAUUAAGUCAAAUUGGUUUCGGCACAUGCCUGAUAAUUCUUGGAGGAUGCCAGAAUCAUUCUGGAAGCUUUUUGGAAUUUUCUGAGAUAAAAACCGGAAAUGUUCCGGAGCUGCCGGAGUCACUUCAGAUGCGUUUCGCAGAUGAAAAUCACUAAAACCGGAAUUGUUUCGGAACACGUUGAAAAUCAUUUUAGUGGGUACUGGAAAUGUUCUUAGCCCACAUAAAUAUUUUCAGUUCGAUCAGAUGCUGAAAAAUGUCGUCGUGAAUAGUGAAAAUCAGCUUUAUGGUUACUUUAUGGAAAGCCACCUUUUGGGGCUUUGCUCCAAAAGAUCUUGGGGAUGACAUGGAUGGAUAGGAGCCAUUUUUUGGGCCCCUCAUGGGGGUGUGGCCGGCCACAUGGGGUAUCCCCCCUUGGGGACCCUCUUGUUCCUUGGUUUCACUCCUAGGUCCUUGUGGAAGGACUUCAUUCAUGUGCAUUUUGGGUUUUUUGUGAAACUACCCUACCCCCUUGGGAUUUUCUAUAAAUAGAGGUGGAGGGGCAGCCCUCCACACUCAUCCCUUGCUCUCAUACACAUGCCAUGCAUUAUCUGGCUUCUUCUCUCCCUCCCACGAAAAGAGUUUCGUAGAGCCGUAAGGCUGUCUGGGUUCCGGCAGGAACUAGUUCUGGACGGCGAAGCCCUGUCGGAUAGAUGACACCGUAUGUGUGCAACUCUGUAGAGAGAUCGUAGUUUCGGUCUUAGUUCGUGAGUGCCUCCCGAAGGGCUGUCCGUGUGACCGUCCGAGUUUCGAAGGUCCUCCCGAAGGGCUGUCCGCGACACCGUCCGGGGGGCUGUUCGACCGCCUCCCGGAGGGCUGUCUAAGGAGCAGAUGAGGGUAUACAUCCUCGCAGUUGGGAGGUUGUAAAUCCUAGCUGCGGGGAUCUGCACCACCGAUCGUCAUCGACUCUACUUCCCGCUGCGCUACGAGUCGGUAAACAAAAAGGAUCAAACCAUGUAUGCAGUCUCCAUAGUGGUCCUGGGCUGGUGCGUAGGUCGGAAUUUUUUUGGUUUCUGUCGCGUUCCCCUACAAUAUCAUCAUAAUUGCCUUUCAUUUGCACGACAGAACGAUGUGAAUAAUAAUAUGAGUGCACGUGCAUUGGACUAAGCUGGAAUCUGCGAGCAUUCAAUAAACAGGAGAAGACAAGGCAAUAUGGGCUCUUGGUUAAAUCAACAAUAAUGCAUAUAAGAGCCACUUCAACAAUUUAAUCAUGGUCUUCUCCUAUCGACCCCAAAGAAAAGAAAAGAAAUAAAAGCUAUUUACAUGGGAAAGCUCCCAACAAGCAAAAGAAGAACGGGAAAUCUUUUUGGGUUUUCUUUUUAAUUAUUACUACUACAGCAAGAAAAAUAAACUAACUAAAAGCUACACUAAAUUUUUUUGUUUUUCUUAAGGUUUAUUAAACACACAAGAAGAAAGCAAGAAAAAGGAAAAUAAACUAGCAUGGAUAUUACAGUGAAAAAGUAUGAGCACCGACAUCUAGCAAUGAGUGUGUGAACAUAAAUGUAAUGUCGGUGGGAAAUACGUACUCCCCCAAGCUUAGGCUUUUGGCCUAAGUUGGUUUAUUGCCAAGGAUGGCCUGGCGGAUAUCCAUAGUUGUAGCCGGGGUCGUACUGAGACGAAGAGGACUCUGACUGCCACUGGCUAGCAGUCAUCUCCGGAUCCCAAAAGUAAUCAGACUGUCGUGGAGGCUCAAAUUGUGGUUCCGGCUCCAGGGCUGGUGUAGGGUUCCGGUAGGCUUGAAUGGCCGCCCACGGAACGAGAUGCGGACCUUCAGAUAAAUUAAACAAGGAAGGAGCAGGCAAGGUAAUAGUCUCAGGGUGAUGUUUAUCAAAGAACAAUUUGUAUUUAAGCUCCCAUUCCUUAUUCUUAACAAUAAAAUCAUGCGCUAACAUACUCUUAUAAUCUAAAUAAGCAUUGGGCAACAAUUUUUCUUCUUUCUCAUAGAGCCUAAUAGGUAUGUUAUAAUGCGCAGCUAGGCGUGAAGCAUAAAUACCUCCAAAGAUGGGGCCCUUAGUACGGUUCAGACUUAACCGUUUAUCAAUAAUACCGCCCAUACUAACAGUGUUAUCGGAAUAUAAAAAAUGGAGCAUAAUGAUAAUAUCAGGGACACUAAGGUUUCCACAGUUUCCGCGACCAAUUACAACGACUAGCAAAUAUGGCAAAGUAGCGUAAAACAGGAAAAUGUAUGCUAGUGAUUCUUGCAUCGGAAACCUUCCUAGUUUCCCCCACAGUGAUGGUGUCAAUAAACCCGUCCACAUCUUUACGAUGUGGUUCAUCUAAGGUACCCUCGAAGGGUUUUGCAAACCUUGCAAAAUUUAUCUAGUGGGAUCUUCUUAACAACAUCAUAUAAAUGAAACUCUACUGAAGGAGGUGUUUCUUUAGGAAAAUAGUAGAAGUUUUGCACAAAAGUAUUGGUGAGUAAGAGAUACUGAUGACGUUGGUCACGGAGGAAGUCGGUGAGGCCAGCAUUCUCAGCCAAUGAAUAGAAAUCAUCAUAAAUCCCGGCUUUUCUCAAGAAAUCAUCGGAAGGCCAUUCACACGGCCGGACCUCCGCGGUGCGAGGCAAAUUAUAUUUGGGCCUCUGUGCUUCUUCAUUUUGCUUUUCCUUCGAGCUUCGGCUCAUCAUUAUUUUCUGAAAUAUUCUGAAAUUUUUAGUAACUUCAAAUAAAAGUAAACCAAACUCAACAAAAUUGAUAGCGACUACUCCUACAAGUGACUAGAGCCUAUAUCAAGCAUUAGAACUACUUGGAACCAUAUAAAUUUGACAUGCAAGCUCAAGAACAUGGUCACCUAGGCAGCACAAAUUUGCAAUGAAUAAAGCACUAGAACAAAAACUAAUUGGACCAAUGGAGGAGUCACAUACCAAGGAACAAUCUCCCCAAGCAGUUUUGUGAGAGGUGCUUUGAGCAAGGAGAUCGAAAAUCACAGCAAAAUGAGCUAGAACUCGUGCUUGAGCUGGAUAUUGGUGUUUGUGGGAGGAAGAAGGAGUGUAUGGGUGCAGGAAUAAGUGGAGGAGGGCCACCGUGGGCCCACGAGGCAGGUGGGCGCGCCCUGGAGGGUAGGGCGCGCCCUCCACCCUCGUGGCCAGGUGCUUGCCCCUCCUGCUGUGUUCUCAGUGCCAGAAAUUCUCAAAUAUUCUAGAAAAAAUCAUAUGCAUUUUCAGGGCAUUUGGAGAACUUUUAUUUUCGGGGUAUUUUUAUAUUGCACGGAUAAAUCAGAAAACAGACAGAAAAAUACUAUUUUUACUUUAUUUCAACUAAAUAACAGAAAGUAGAAGGAGGGUACGGAAGGUUGUGCCUUCUAGUUUCAUCCAUCUCAUGCUUAUCAAAAAGAAUCCACUAACAAGGUUGAUCAAGUCUUGUUAACAAAAUCAUUCCGAAUAAUCAUGGAACCGGAGAAAUUUCGAAUAACACUAUGUUACCUCAACGGGGAUAUGCACAUCCCCAAUAAUAAGAAUAUCAUAUUUCUUCUUGACAGUAGGAAGAGGAAAUUCAAAACCUCCAAAUAUAAUCGAUGGAAUUUUUCCAAUAGAGUUGAUACUAUGAACUUGAGGUUGUUUCCUCCGAAAGUGUACCGUAUGCUCAUUACCAUUAACAUGAAAAGUGACAUUGCCUUUGUUGCAAUUAAUAACAGCCCCUGCAGUAUUCAAAAAAGGUCUUCCAAGAAUAAUAGACAUGCUAUCGUCCUCGGGAAUAUCAAGAAUAACAAAGUCCGUUAAAAUAGUAACGUUUGCAACCACAACAGGAACAUCCUCACAAAUACCGACAGGUAUAGUAGUAGAUUUAUCAGCCAUUUGCAAAGAUAUUUCAGUAGGUGUCAACUUAUUCAAGUCAAGUCUACGAUAUAAGGAGAGAGGCAUAACACUAACACCGGCUCCAAGAUCACAUAAAGCAGUUUUAACAUAAUUUCUUUUAAUGGAGCAUGGUAUAGUAGGUACUCCUGGAUCUCCAAGUUUCUUUGGUAUUCCACCCUUAAAAGUAUAAUUAGCAAGCAUGGUGGAAAUCUCAGCUUCCGGUAUUUUUCUUUUGUUUGUAACAAUAUCUUUCAUAUACUUAGCAUAAGGAUUCAUUUUGAGCAUAUCAGUUAAUCGCAUACGCAAAAAGAUAGGUCUAAUCAUUUCAGCAAAGCGCUCAAAAUCCUCAUCAUCCUUUUUCUUGGAUGGUUUGGGAGGAAAAGGCAUGGGUUUCUGAACCCAUUGUUCUCCUUCUUUACCGUGCUUCCUAGCAACAAAGUCUCUCUUAUCAUACCGUUGAUUCUUUGAUUGUGGGUUAUCAAGAUCAACAGCAGGUUCAAUUUCUACAUCAUUAUCAUUAAUAGGUUGAGCAUCAUCAUGAACAUCAUCAUUAACAUUUUCACUAGGUUCAUGUUCAUUACCAGAUUGUGUUUUAGCAUCAGAAAUAGAAAUAUCAUUUGGAUUCUCAGGUGGUUCAGCAAUAGGUUCACUAGAAGCAUGCAAAGUCCUAUCAUUUCUCUUUUUCUUCCUUUUAGAAGGACUAGGUGCAUCAAUAUUAUUUCUCUGAGAAUCUUGCUCAAUUCUCUUAGGGUGGCCUUCAGGAUACAAAGGUUCCUGAGUCAUUCUACCAGUUCUAGUAGCCACUCUAACAGCAUAAUCAUUUUUCUUACUAUUCAUUUCAUUGAGCAAAUCAUUUUGAGCUUUAGGUACUUGUUCUACUUGAGUGGUAACCAUAGAAGCAUGUUUACUAAUGAGUUUAAGUUCACCUUUAACAUUAGCCAUAUAAUCACCCAAGUGUUCAAUCAUAUAAGCAUUUUGUUUUAAUUGUCUACCAAAAUAAGCAUUGAAGUUUUCUUGUUUGACAAUAAAAUUAUCAAACUCUUCUAAGCAUUGUCUAGCAGACUUAUAGUGAGGAAUAUCGCCUUCAUCAAAUCUAUAGAGUGAGUUUACCUUUACUACCUGUGUCGGGUUAUCAAGACCAUGAGGUUCUUCAAUAGGUAAUGGAUUAAGAUCACAUGUUUCUUCAACAGGCGGUAGAUUAAGACCAUGUAUUUCUUCAAUAGGAGGUAAAUUCUUAACAUCUUCAGCUUUAAUACCUUUUUCUUUCAUAGAUUUCUUUGCCUCUUGCAUAUCUUUAGGACAGAGAAAUAGAACACCUCUCAUGUUCAGAGUUGGUUUAGGAAUAGGCUCAGGAAUUGGCUCAGGAGCUGGCUCAGGAAGUGUCCAAUUAUUUUCAUUUGUCAACAUAUUAUUCAAUAGAAUUUCAGCUUCAUCCGGUGUUCUUUCCUUGAAAACAGAACCAGCACAACUAUCCAGGUAAUCUCUGGAAGCAUCGGUUAGUCCAUUAUAAAAGAUAUCAAGUAUUUCAUUUUUCUUGAGAGGAUGAUCAGGCAAAGCAUUAAGUAACUUGAGAAGCCUCCCCCAAGCUUGUGGGAGACUCUCUUCUUCAAUUUGCACAAAGUUGUAUAUUUCCCUCAAAGCAGCUUGUUUCUUAUGAGCAGGGAAAUAUUUAGCAGAGAAGUAAUAAAUCAUAUCCUGGGGACUACGCACACAACCAGGAUCAAGGGAAUUAAGCCAUAUCUUAGCAUCACCCUUUAAUGAGAACGGAAAUAUUUUAAGGAUAUAAAAGUAGCGAGAUCUCUCAUCAUUAGUGAACAGGGUGGCUAUAUCAUUUAAUUUAGUAAGAUGUGCCACAACAGUUUCAGAUUCAUAGCCAUGAAAGGGAUCAGAUUCAACCAAAGUAAUUAUAUCAGGAUCAACAGAGAAUUCAUAAUCCUUAUCGGUAACAUAGAUAGGUGAAGUUGCAAAAGCAGGGUCAGGUCUCAUUCUAUCAUUAAGAGAUUGCUGAUUCCAUUUAGCUAAUAAUCUCUUGAGCUCAUAUCUAUCUUUGCAAGCUAAAAUAGCUAAAGAAGCUUCUUUAUCAAAAACAUAACCCUCAGGAAUAACAGGCAAGUCUUCAUCAUCACUUUCAUCAAUAUAAUCGGUUUCAAUAAUUUCUUUCUCUCUAGCCCUAGCAAUUUGUUCAUCAAGAAAUUCACUAAGGGGCACAGUAGUAUCAAGCAUAGAAGUAGUUUCAUCAUAAGUAUCAUGCAUAGCAGAAGUGGCAUCAUCAAUAACAUGCGACAUAUCAGAAUGAAUAGCAGAAGCAGGUUUAGGUGUCGCAAGCUUACUCAAAACAGAAGGUGAAUCAAGUGCAGAGCUAGAUGGCAGUUCCUUACCUCCCCUCGUAGUUGAGGGAUAAAUUGUUGUCUUAGCGUCUUUCAAGUUCUUCAUAGUGACCAGCAAAUAUAAAUCCCAAGUGACUCAAAGAAUAGAGCUAUGCUCCCCGGCAACGGUGCUAGAAAAUAGUCUUGAUAACCCACAAGUAUAGGGGAUCGCAACAGUUUUCGAGGGUAGAGUAUUCAACCCAAAUUUAUUGAUUCGACACAAGGGGAGCCAAAAAAUAUUCUCAAGUAUUAGCAGCUGAGUUGUCAAUUCAACCACACCUGGAUAACUUAGUAUCUGCAGCAAAGUGUUUAGUAGCAAAGUAAUAUCAUAGUAGUGGUAACGGUAACAAAAGUAACGGUAGCAAAAGUAUAUUUUUGGUGUUUUGUAGUGAUUGUAACAGCAGCAACGGAAAAGUAAAUAAGCAAAGAACCAUAUGUGAAAAGCUCGUAGGCAUUGGAUCGAUGAUGGAGAAUUAUGCCGGAUGCGGUUCAUCAUGUAACAAUCAUAACAUAGGGUGACACAGAACUAGCUCCAAUUCAUCAAUGUAAUGUAGGCAUGUAUUCCGAAUAUAGUCAUACGUGUUUAUGGAAAAGAACUUGCAUGACAUCUUUUGUCCUACCCUCCCGUGGCAGCGGGGUCCUAAUGGAAACAAAGGGAUAUUAAGGCCUCCUUUUAAUAGAGUACCGGAACAAAGCAUUAGCACAUAGUGAAUACAUGAACUCCUCAAACUAUGGUCAUCACUGGGAGUGGUCCCGAUUAUUGUCACUUCAGGGUUGCCGGAUCAUAACUCAUAGUAGGUGACUAUAGACUUGCAAGAUAGGAUCAAGAACUCACAUAUAUUCAUGCAAACAUAAUAGGUUCAGAUCUGAAAUCAUGGCACUCGGGCCCUAGUGACAAGCAUUAAGCAUAGCAAAGUCAUAGCAACAUCAAUCUCAGAACAUAGUGGAUACUGUUGGGGAACGUAGUAAUUUCAAAAAAAUUCCUACGCACACGCAAGAUCAUGGUGAUGCAUAGCAACGAGGGGGGAGAGUGUUGUCCAUGUACCCUCGUAGACCGAAAGCGGAAGCGUUAACACAACGUGGUUGAUGUAGUCAUACGUCUUCACGAUCCGACCGAUCAAGUACCGAACGCACGGCACCUCCGAGUUCAGCACACGUUCAGCUCGAUGACGUCCCUCGAACUCCGAUCCAGCCGAGUGUUGAGGGAGAGUUUCGUCAGCACGACGGCGUGGUGACGAUGAUGAUGUUCUACCGAUGCAGGGCUUCGCCUAAGCUCCGCGACGAUAUUAUCGAGGUGUAAUAUGGUGGAGGGGGCACCGCACACGGCUAAAAUAUCGUAUAUCAAUUGUGUGUCUAGAGGUGCCCCCCUGCCCCCGUAUAUAAAGGAGCAAGGUGGGAGGCCGGCCGGCCCUUGGGGCGCGCCAAGGAGGGGGGGAGUCCUCCUCCUAGUAGGAGUAGGACUCCCCUUUCCUAGUCCAACUAGGAAGAGAGAAGGGGGAAGGAAAGAGAGGGAGAGGGAAAGAGGGGCCGCACCCCCCUCCCCUAGUCCAAUUCGGACUCCUCAUGGGAGGGGGCGCGCCACCUCCUGGGCUGCUGCCCUCUCUCUCUCCUCAGGCCCACUAAGGCCCAAUACUUCCCCGGGGGGUUCCGGUAACCCCUCCGGCACUCCGGUUUUAUCCGAAACUUCUCCGGAACACUUCCGGUGUCCGAAUAUAGUCGUCCAAUAUAUCAAUCUUUAUGUCUCGACCAUUUUGAGACUCCUCGUCAUGUCCGUGAUCAUAUCCGAAACUCCGAACAACCUUCGGUAGAUCAAAACAUAUAAACUCAUAAUAAAACUGUCAUCGUAACUUUAAGCGUGCGGACCCUACAGGUUCGAGAACUAUGUAGACAUGACCGAGACACCUCUCCGGUCAAUAACCAAUAGCGGAACCUGGAUGCUCAUAUUGGUUCCCACAUAUUCUACGAAGAUCUUUAUCGGUCAGACCGCAUAACAACAUACGUUGUUCCCUUUGUCAUCGGUAUGUUACUUUCCCGAGAUUCGAUCGUCGGUAUCUCGAUACCUAGUUCAAUCUCGUUACCGGCAAGUCUCUUUACUCGUUCCAUAAUAGAUCAUCCCGCAACUAACUCAUUAGUCACAACGCUUGCAAGGCUUAUAGUGAUGUGCAUUACCGAGUGGGCCCAGAGAUACCUCUCCGACAAUCAGAGUGACAAAUCUUAAUCUCAAAAAACGCCAACCCAACAAGUACCUUUGGAGACACCUGUAGAGCACCUUUAUAAUCACCCAGUUACGUUGUGACGUUUGGUAGCACACAAAGUGUUCCUCCGGUAAACGGGAGUUGCAUAAUCUCAUAGUCAUAGGAACAUGUAUAAGUCAUGAAGAAAGCAAUAGCAACAUACUAAACGAUCGAGUGCUAAGCUAACGGAAUGGGUCAAGUCAAUCACGUCAUUCUCCUAAUGAGGUGAUCCCGUUAAUCAAAUGACAACUCAUGUCUAUGGCUAGGAAACAUAACCAUCUUUGAUUAACGAGCUAGUCAAGUAGAGGCAUACUAGUGACACUCUGUUUGUCUAUGUAUUCACACAUGUAUUAUGUUUCCGGUUAAUACAAUUCUAGCAUGAAUAAUAAACAUUUAUCAUGAUAUAAGGAAAUAAAUAAUACUUUAUUAUUGCCUCUAGGGCAUAUUUCCUUCAGUCUCCCACUUGCACUAGAGUCAAUAAUCUAGAUUACACAGUAAUGAUCCUUACACCCAUGGAGUCUUGGUGUUGAUCAUGUUUUGCUUGUGGAAGAGGCUUAGUCAAUGGGUCUGCAACAUUCAGAUCCGUAUGUAUCUUGCAAAUUUCUAUGUCUCCCACCUGGACUAAAUCCCGGAUGGAAUUGAAGCGUCUUUUGAUGUGCUUGGUUCUCUUGUGAAAUCUGGAUUCCUUUGCUAAGGCAAUUGCACCAGUAUUGUCACAAAAGAUUUUCAUUUGUCCCAAUGCACUAGGUAUGACACCUAGAUCGGAUAUGAACUCCUUCAUCUAGACUCCUUCAUUUCCUGCUUCCGAAGCAGCUAUGUACUCUGCUUCACACGUAGAUCCCGCCACGACACUUUGCUUAGAACUGCACCAACUGACAGCUCCACCGUUCAAUGUAAAUACGUAUCCGGUUUGCAAUUUAGAAUCGUCCGGAUCAGUGUCAAAGCUUGCAUCAACGUAACCACUUACGAUGAGCUCUUUGUCAUCUCCAUAAACGAGAAACAUAUCCUUAGUCCUUUUCAGGUAUUUUAGGAUGUUCUUGACCGCUGUCCAGUGAUCCACUCCUGGAUUACUUUGGUACCUCCCUGCUAAACUUAUAGCAAGGCACACAUCAGGUCUGGUACACAGCAUUGCAUACAUGAUAGAGCCUAUGGCUGAAGCAUAGGGAACAUCUUUCAUCUUCUCUCUAUCUUCUGCAGUGGUCGGGCAUUGAGUCUUACUCAAUCUCACACCUUGUAGUACAGGCAAGAACCCUUUCUUUGCUUGAUCCAUUUUGAACUUCUUCAAAACUUUGUCAAGGUAUGUGCUUUGUGAAAGUCCAAUUAAGCGUCUUGAUCUAUCUCUAUAGAUCUUAAUGCCUAAUAUAUAUGCAGCUUCACCGAGGUCUUUCAUUGAAAAACUCUUAUUCAAGUAUCCCUUUAUGCUAUCCAGAAAUUCUAUAUCAUUUCCAAUCAGCAAUAUGUCAUCCACAUAUAAUAUCAGAAAUGCUACUGAGCUCCCAUUCACUUUCUUGUAAAUACAGGCUUCUCCAAAAGUCUGUAUAAAACCAAAUGCUUUCAUCACACUAUCAAAGCGUUUAUUCCAACUCCGAGAGGCUUGCACCAGUCCAUAAAUGGAUCGCUGGAGCUUGCACACUUUGUUAGCUCCCUUUGGAUCGACAAAACCUUCCGGUUGCAUCAUAUACAACUCUUCUUCCAGAAAUCCAUUCAGGAAUGUAGUUUUGACAUCCAUUUGCCAAAUUUCAUAAUCAUAAAAUGCGUCAAUUGCUAACAUGAUUCGGACAGACUUAAGCAUCGCUACGGGUGAGAAGGUCUCAUCGUAGUCAAUCCCUUGAACUUGUCAAAAACUUUUCGCAACAAGUCGAGCUUUAUAGACAGUAACAUUACCAUCAGCGUCAGUCUUCUUCUUGAAGAUUCAUUUAUUUUCAAUGGCUUGCCGACCAUCGGGCAAGUCAACCAAAGUCCAUACUUUGUUCUCAUACAUGGAUCCCAUCUCGGAUUUCAUGGCUUCAAGCCAUUUUGCGGAAUCUGGGCUCACCAUCGCUUCUUCAUAGUUCGUAGGUUCGUCAUGGUCUAGUAACAUAACCUCCAGAACAGGAUUACCGUACCACUCUGGUGCGGAUCUUGAUCUAGUUGACCUACGAGGUUCAGUAAUAACUUGAUCUGAAGUUUCAUGAUCAUUAUCAUUAACUUCCUCACUAAUUGGUGUAGGUGUCGCAGAAACUGAUUUUUGUGAUGAUCUACUUUCCAAUAAGGGAGCAGGUACAGUUACCUCAUCAAGUUCUACUUUCCUCCCACUCACUUCUUUCGAGAGAAACUCCUUCUCUAGAAAGGAUCCAUUCUUAGCAACGAAUAUCUUGCCUUCAGAUCUGUGAUAGAAGGUGUACCCAACAGUCUCCUUUGGGUAUCCUAUGAAGACAUAUUUCUCCGAUUUAGGUUCGAGCUUAUCAGGUUGAAGUUUCUUCACAUAAGCAUCGCAACCCCAAACUUUAAGAUACGACAACUUUGGUUUCUUGCCAAACCAUAGUUCAUAAGGUGUCGUUUCAACGGAUUUUGAUGGUGCCCUAUUUAGAGUGAAUGCAGCCAUCUCUAAAGCAUAACCCCAAAACGAUAGCGGUAAAUCAGUAAGAGACAUCAUAGAUCGCACCAUAUCUAAUAAAGUACGAUUACGACGUUCGGACACACCAUUACGCUGUGGUGUUCCGGGUGGCGUGAGUUGCGAAACUAUUCCGCAUUGUUUCAAAUGUAGGCCAAACUCGUAACUCAAAUAUUCUCCUCCACGAUCUGAUCGUAGAAACUUUAUUUUCUUGUUACGAUGAUUUUCAACUUCACUCUGAAAUUCUUUGAACUUUUCAAAUGUUUCAGACUUAUGUUUCAUUAAGUAGAUAUACCCAUAUCAGCUCAAAUCAUCUGUGAAGGUGAGAAAAUAACGAUAUCCGCCACGAGCCUCAAUAUUCAUCGGACCACAUACAUCUGUAUGUAUGAUUUCCAAUAAAUCUGUUGCUCUCUCCAUAGUUCCGGAGAACGGUGUUUUAGUCAUCUUGCCCAUGAGGCACGGUUCGCAAGUACCAAGUGAUUCAUAAUCAAGUGAUUCCAAAAGUCCAUCAGUAUGGAGUUUCUUCAUGCGCUUUACACCGAUAUGACCUAAACGGCAGUGCCACAAAUAAGUUGCACUGUCAUUAUCAACUCUGCAUCUUUUGGCUUCGACAUUAUGAAUAUGUGUGUCACUACUAUCGAGAUUCAUUAAAAAUAGACCACUCUUCAAGGGUGCAUGACCAUAAAAGAUAUUACUCAUAUAAAGAGAACAACCAUUAUUCUCUGAUUUAAAUGAAUAACCGUCUCGCUUCAAACAAGAUCCAGAUAUAAUGUUCAUGCUCAACGCUGGCACCAAAUAACAAUUAUUUAGGUCUAAUACUAAUCCCGAAGGUAGAUGUAGAGGUAGCGUGCCGACGGCGAUCACAUCGACUUUGGAACCAUUUCCCACGCGCAUUGUCACCUCGUCCUUAGCCAAUCUUUGCUUAAUCCGUAGCCCCUGUUUCGAGUUGCAAAUAUUAGCAACAGAACCAGUAUCAAAUAUCCAGGUGCUACUGCGAGCAUUAGUAAGGUACACAUCAAUAACAUGUAUAUCACAUAUACCUUUGUUAACCUUGCCAUCCUUCUUAUCCGCCAAAUACUUGGGGCAGUUCCGCUUCCAGUGACCAGUCUGCUUGCAGUAGAAGCACUUAGUUUCAGGCUUAGGUCCAGACUUGGAUUUCUUCUCCUGAACAGCAACUUGCUUGUUGUUCUUCUUGAAGUUCCCCUUCUUCUUCCCUUUGCCCUUUUUCUUGAAACUAGUGGUUUUACUGACCAUCAACACUUGAUGCUCCUUUUUGAUUUCUACCUCCGCUGCCUUUAGCAUUGCGAAGAGCUCGGGAAUUGUCUUAUCCAUCCCUUGCAUGUUAUAGUUCAUCACGAAGCUUUUGUAGCUUGGUGGCAGUGAUUGAAGAAUUCUGUCAAUGACGCUAUCAUCCGGAAGAUUAACUCCCAGUUGAAUCAAGUGAUUAUUAUACCCAGACAUUUUGAGUAUAUGCUCACUGACAGAACUAUUCUCUUCCAUCUUGCAGCUGUAGAACUUAUUGGAGACUUCAUAUCUCUCAAUCCGGGCAUUUGCUUGAAAUAUUAACUUCAACUCCUGAAACAUCUCAUAUGCUCCAUGACGUUCAAAACGUCGUUGAAGACCCGGUUCUAAGCCGUAAAGCAUGGCACACUGAACUAUUGAGUAGUCAUCAGCUUUGCUCUGCCAGACGUUCAUAACUUCUGGUGUUGCUCUUGCAGGAGGCCUGGCACCUAGCGGCGCUUCCAGGACGUAAUUCUUCUGUGCAGCAAUGAGGAUAAUCCUCAAGUUACGGACCCAGUCCGUGUAAUUGCUACCAUCAUCUUUCAACUUUGCUUUCUCAAGGAACGCAUUAAAAUUCAACGGAACAACAGCACGGGCCAUUUAUCUAUAAUUAACAUAGACAAGCAAGAUACUAUCAGGUACUAAGUUCAUGAUAAAUUCAAGUUCAAUUAAUCAUAUUACUUAAGAACUCCCACUGAGAUAGACAUCCCUCUAAUCAUCUAAGUGAUUACGUGAUCCAAAUCAACUAAACCAUGUCCGAUCAUCACGUGAGAUGGAGUAGUUUCAAUGGUGAACAUCACUAUGUUGAUCAUAUCUACUAUAUAAUUCACGCUCGACCUUUCGGUCUCCGUGUUUCGAGGCCAUAUCUGCAUAUGCUAGGCUCGUCAAGUUUAACCUGAGUAUUCCGCGUGUGCAACUGUUUUGCACCCGUUGUAUUUGAACGUAGAGCCUAUCACACCCGAUCAUCACGUGGUGUCUCAGCACGAAGAACUUUCGCAACGGUGCAUACUCAGGGAGAACACUUUUAUCUUGAAAUUUUAGUGAGAGAUCAUCUUAUAAUGCUACCGCCAAUCAAAGCAAGAUAAGAUGCAUAAAAGAUUAACAUCACAUGCAAUCAAUAUAAGUGAUAUGAUAUGGCCAUCAUCAUCUUGUGCUUGUGAUCUCCAUCUCCGAAGCACCGUCAUGAUCACCAUCGUCACCGGCGCGACACCUUGAUCUCCAUCGUAGUAUCGUUGUCGUCUCGCCAUCUUAUUGCUUUUACGACUAUCGCUACCGCUUAGUGAUAAAGUAAAACAAUUACAUGGCGAUUGCAUUGCAUACAAUAAAGCGACAACCAUAUGGCUCCUGCCAGUUGUCGAUAACUCGGUUACAAAACAUGAUCAUCUCAUACAAUAAAAUAUAGCAUCAUGUCUUGACCAUAUCACAUCACAACAUGCCCUGCAAAAACAAGUUAGACGUCCUCUACUUUGUUGUUGCAAGUUUUACGUGGCUGCUACGGGCUUAGCAAGAACCGUUCUUACCUACGCAUCAAAACCACAACGAUAGUUUGUCAAGUUGGUGCUGUUUUAACCUUCGCAAGGACCGGGCGUAGCCACACUCGGUUCAACUAAAGUGAGAGAGACAGACACCCGCCAGUCACCUUUAAGCAACAAGUGCUCACAACGGUGAAACCAGUCUCGCGUAAGCGUACGCGUAAUGUCGGUCCGGGCCGCUUCAUCUCACAAUACCGCUGAACCAACGUAUGACAUGCUGGUAAGCAGUAUCACUUACAUCGCCCACAACUCACUUGUGUUCUACUCGUGCAUAGCAUUAACGCAUAAAACCAGGCUCGGAUGCCACUGUUGGGGAACGUAGUAAUUUCAAAAAAAAUUCCUACGCACACGCAAGAUCAUGGUGAUGCAUAGCAACGAGAGGGGAGAGUGUUGUCCACGUACCCUCGUAGACCGAAAGCGGAAGUGUUAACACAACGCGGUUGAUGUAGUCAUACGUCUUCACGAUCCGACCGAUCAAGUACCGAACGCACGGCACCUCCGAGUUCAGCACACGUUCAGCUCGAUGACGUCCCUCGAACUCCGAUCCAGCCGAGUGUUGAGGGAGAGUUUUGUCAGCAUGACGGCGUGGUGACGAUGAUGAUGUUCUACCGACGCAGGGCUUCGCCUAAGCUCCGCGACGAUAUUAUCGAGGUGUAAUAUGGUGGAGGGGGGCACCGCACACGGCUAAAAUAUCGUAUAUCAAUUGUGUGUCUAGAGGUGCCCCCUGCCCCCGUAUACAAAGGAGCAAGGGGGAGGCCGGCCGGCCCUUGGGGCGCGCCAAGGAGGGGGGAGUCCUCAUCCUAGUAGGAGUAGGACUCCCCUUUCCUAGUCCAACUAGGAAGGGAGAAGGGGGAAGGAAAGAGAGGGAGAGGGAGAGGGAAAGAGGGGCCGCGCCCCCCUCCGCUAGUCCAAUUCGGACUCCUCAUGGGAGGGGGGCGCCACCUCCUGGGCUGCUGCCCUCUCUCCCCUCAGGCCCACUAAGGCCCAAUACUUCCCCGGGGGGUUCCGGUAACCCCUCCGGCACUCCGGUUUUAUCCGAAACUUCUCCGGAACACUUCCGGUGUCCGAAUAUAGUCGUCCAAUAUAUCAAUCUUUAUGUCUCGACCAUUUCGAGACUCCUCGUCAUGUCCGUGAUCAUAUCUAGAACUCCGAACAACCUUCGGUAGAUCAAAACAUAUAAACUCAUAAUAAAACUGUCAUCGUAACUUUAAGCGUGCGGACCCUACGGGUUCGAGAACUAUGUAGACAUGACCGAGACACCUCUCCGGUCAAUAACCAAUAGCGGAACCUGGAUGCUCAUAUUGGUUCCCACAUAUUCUACGAAGAUCUUUAUCGGUCAGACCGCAUAACAACAUACGUUGUUCCCUUUGUCAUCGGUAUGUUACUUGCCCGAGAUUCGAUCGUCGGUAUCUCGAUACCUAGUUCAAUCUCGUUACCGGCAAGUCUCUUUACUUGUUCCGUAAUACAUCAUCCCGCAACUAACUCAUUAGUCACAAUGCUUGCAAGGCUUAUAGUGAUGUGCAUUACCGAGAGGGCCCAGAGAUACCUCUCCGACAAUCGGAGUGACAAAUCCUAAUCUCGAAAUACGCCAACCCAACAAGUACCUUUGGAGACACCUGUAGAGCACCUUUAUAAUCACCCAGUUACGUUGUGACGUUUGGUAGCACACAAAGUGUUCCUCCGGUAAACGGGAGUUGCAUAAUCUCAUAGUCAUGGGAACAUGUAUAUGUCAUGAAGAAAGCAAUAGCAACAUACUAAACGAUCGAGUGCUAAGCUAACGGAAUGGGUCAAGUCAAUCACGUCAUUCUCCUAAUGAGGUGAUCCCGUUAAUCAGAUGACAACUCGUGUCUAUGGCUAGGAAACAUAACCAUCUUUGAUUAACGAGCUAGUCAAGUAGAGGCAUACUAGUGACACUCUGUUUGUCUAUGUAUUCACACAUGUAUUAUGUUUCCGGUUAAUACAAUUCUAGCAUGAAUAAUAAACAUUUAUCAUGAUAUAAGGAAAUAAAUAAUACUUUAUUAUUGCCUCUAGGGCAUAUUUCCUUCAGAUACUAGGGAACAAACCCUAACAAAACUAACUCGAUUACAUGAUAGAUCUCAUCCAACCCAUCACCGUCCAGCAAGCCUACGAUGGAAUUACUCACGCACGGCGGUGAGCAUCAUGAAAUUGGUGAUGGAGGAUGGUUGAUGAUGACGACGACGACGAAUCCCCCUCUCCGGAGCCCCGAACGGACUCCAGAUCAGCCCUCCCGAGAGGUUUUAUGGCUUGGCGGCGGCUCCGUAUCGUAAAACGCGAUGAAUUCUUCUCUCUGAUUUUUUUUCUCCCCGAAAGCAAAUAUAUAGAGUUGGAGUUGAGGCCGGAGCAGCUCUAGGGGGGCCACGAGGUAGGGGGCGUGCCCUAGGGGGAGGGCGCCCCCCCACCCUCGUGGACAGGGUGUGGGCCCCCUGGUCUUCAUCUUUUGCAAGGAUUUUUUAUUAUUUCCAAAUAGACGUUCCGUGGAGUUUCAGAUCAUUCCGAGAACUUUUGUUUCUGCACAUAAAUAACACCAUGGAAAGUCUGCUGAAAACAGCGUCAGUCCGGGUUAGUUCCAUUCAAAUCAUGAGUCCAAAACAAGGGCAAAAGUGUUUGGAAAAGUAGAUACGACGGAGACGUAUCAGUCUUGGAAGUGGAUGAGGCCGGCCCCGGCGCACACUUCCAUUAAAAAGGACGGCCAUGCGGACCUUCCACACACUGCCAGGCGGCCCUGAAAUAGGUGUUGAUAUUUAAUAAGACGCGGGCGUUGGUUGGGCAGCCGACAAGUGGGACCGCGGCAGACACCUAGGGGACGCGCGGCGCGUCCGCGUCGACGCAUUUUUGGCGCAAUUUUAGGCUGAAAAUGGGUCCGCGCUGAUGCACGUUAGGCGCAAUUUUAGAGCUCCCUAGUUUUAAAGGCCUCACAAUCAAUUGAAGUCUCCAAUUUGAAAUUGGUCAUCCAAUUUUGACCGGAUCAAUAUUUUCACGCGGAGCUCUCAUUCAAAUUUUUUAGUAUACUAUGCUUCCUAAUUUUGAAACUCUUCCAUUCGAUUGAGUUAUACAAUUUUAAUCCUUGACUUGACUCAGUAAAUCCUUAGUUGUGGCCCAAUGAAAUCUUAACUUCAUUAAGCUCCCUAAUUUUCAAGCCCCUCAUUCAACUGAGGUCUUCAAUUUGGAUUGGUAAACAAUUGAUUUCGUCGUUGGCCUGGGCUUUAUGGUGGGAUUUCUAGAAUGGGUCCUUUUGUAAGUUCUUAGGUGGCGUGGGCCUUCGUUGACAAAAAGAAGAUGUCGACUAUGACCGUUUAGCAUCAGCACGACACAUGCAGCCGACAACAUAGGUAAUUUUCUAAUGUUUGUAUAAAUUAAAAGACACCCUCGAGUCACACAGUUAAAAAGACCCAUCCAAAGACCACAAUAAAAAAAUGAAAAAUUAUACACUAAUAUGUCUCCAACGUAUCUAUAAUUUUUUAUUGUUCCAUGUUAUAUUAUCAUUCUUGAAUGUUUUAUAUUCAACGUAUCUAUAAUUUUUGAUUGUUCCAUGUUGUUAUAUUAUCAUUUUGAAUGUUUUAAAUUCAUUUAUUAGCAACUUUAUAUCAUUUUUGGGGACUAACCUAUUGACAUAGUGCCCAGUGCCAGUUGCUUUUUUGCUUAUUUUUUACUUCACAGAAAAUCAGUACCAAACAGAGUCCAAAUGCUAUGAAACUUUUUGGAGAUUUUUUUCUGCCCAAAAGACACCCAGGAGGCCCAAGAAGUGCACCAGAGGGGCCCUGUGGACCCCAAUAGGCACCAGGGCGCACUAGAGGCCCCUAGCACGCCUUGGUGGGUAGUGGGGCCCACAGGCACCCCCUCAACCGACUAUCAGCUCUAUAAAUACUCUAAAAUCCCCAAAACCCUAGGGGAGUCGACGAAACACAAUUUCAGCAGCCGCAAGUUCCAGAACCACAAGAUCCAAUCUAGAGGCCUUUUCCGGCACUCUACCGGAGGGGUCAACGAUCACGGAGGGGUUCUUCAUCAUCACCCUUGCCCCUCCAAUGAUGCGUGAGUAGUUUACUGAAGUAAAUAUGCCCUAGAGGCAAUAAUGAAGUUCUUAUUUUAUAUUUCCUUAUUCAUGAUAAAGGUUUAUUAUUCAUGCUAGAAUUGUAUUGAUCGGAAACCUUAAUACAUGUGUGAAUACAUAAACAAACAUCGUGUCCCUAGUAAGUCUCUACUAGACUAGCUCGUUGAUCAAAGAUGGUUAAGGUUUCCUAACCAUAGACAUGAGUUGUCAUUUGAUAACGGGAUCACAUCAUUAGGAGAAUGAUGUGAUGGACAAGACCCAUCCAUUAGCUUAGCAUAAUGAUCGUUCAGUUUUAUUGCUAUUGCUUUCUUCAUGUCAAAUACAUAUUCCUUUGACUAUGAGAUUAUGCAACUCCCGGAUACCGGAGGAAUACCUUGUGUGCUAUCAAACGUCACAACGUAACUGGGUGAUUAUAAAGAUGCUCUACAGGUAUCUCCGAAGGUGUUUGUUGGGUUGGCAUAGAUCGAGAUUAGGAUUUGUCACUCCGAGUAUCGGAGAGGUAUCUCUGGGCCCUCUCGGUAAUACACGUCAUAAGCUUACAAGCAAACGACUAAGGAGUUAGUCAUGAGGUGAUGUAUUACGGAACGAGUAAAGAGACUUGCCGGUAAUGAGAUUGAACUAGGUAUGAAGAUACCGAUGAUCGAAUCUCGGGCAAGAAACAUACCGAUAGACAAAGGGAAUAAUGUAUGUUGUCAUAACGGUUCAACCGAUAAAGAUCUUCGUAGAAUAUGUAGGAGCCAAUAUGAGCAUCCAGGUGAUGGGGAACAUAGUAAUUUCAAAAAAAAUCCUACGCACACGCAAGAUCAUGGUGAUGCAUAGCAACGAGAGGGGAGAGUGUUGUCUACGUACCCUCGUAGACCGUAAGCGGAAGCGUUAUGACAACGCGGUUGAUGUAGUCAUACGUCUUCACGAUCGACCGAUCCCAGCACCGAAGUUAUGGCACCUCCGCGGACUGCACAUGUUCAGCUCGGCGACGUCCCAUGAACUCAUGAUCCAGUAGAGCUUCGAGUGAGAGCUUCGUCAGCACGAUGGCAUGAUGACGGUGAUGAUGAAGUUACCGACGCAGGGAUUCGCCUAAGCACCGCUACGAUAUGACCGAGGUGGAUUAUGGUGGAGGGGGGCACCGCACACGGCUAAGAGAGAUCAAUGAUCAACUUGUGUCUCUAUGGGGUGCCCCCCUCCCCCGUAUAUAAAGGAGUGGAGGAGGGGGAAGGGCCGGCCCUACUAGGCGCGCCCCAAGGGGAGUCCUACUCCCAUCGGGAGUAGGAUUUCCCCCUUCCAAGAGUAGGAGUAGGAGAGAGGGAAGGAGGAGAGAGGGGGAAGGAAAGGGGGGCGCCGCCCCCCUCCUUGUCCAAUUCGGACUAGAUGGAGAGGGGGUGCGCGGCCUGCCCUGGCCGCCCCUCCUCUUCUCCACUAAGGCCCAAUAGGCCCAUUACACUCCCCGGGGGGUUCUGAGGACCCCCCCCGGUACUCCGGUAUUUGUCCGAACUUGCCCGGAACCCUUCCGAAGUCCAAACAUAGUCAUCCAAUAUAUCGAUCAUUAUGUCUCGACCAUUUCGAGACUCCUCGUUAUGUCUGUGAUCAUAUCCGGGACUCCGAACUACCUUUGGUACAUCAAAACAAAUAAACUCAUAAUACCGAUCGUCACCGAACAUUAAGCGUGCGGACCCUACGGGUUCGAGAACUAUGUAGACAUGACCGAGACACGUCUCUGGUCAAUAACCAAUAGCGGGACCUGGAUGCUCAUAUUGGUUCCUACAUAUUCUACGAAGAUCUUUAUCGGUCAAACCGCAUAACAACAUACGAUGUUCCCUUUGUCAUCGGUAUGUUACUUGCCCGAGAUUCGAUCAUCAGUAUCUCAAUACCUAGCUCAAUCUCGUUGCCGGAAAGUCUCUUUACUCGUUUCGUAAUGCAUCAUCCCGUAACUAACUCAUUAGCUACAUUGCUUGCAAGGCUUAUAGUGAUGUGCAUUACCGAGAGGGCCCAGAGAUACCUCUCCGACAAUCGGAGUGACAAAUCCUAAUCUCGAUUUAUGCCAACACAACAAACACCAUCGGAGACACCUUUAGAGCACCUUUAUAAUCACCCAGUUACGUUGUGACGUUUGGUUGCACACAAAUUGUUCCUCCGGUAUUCGGGAGUUGCAUAAUCUCAUAGUCAUAGGAACAUGUAUAAGUCAUGAAGAAAGCAAUAGCAACAUACUAAACGAUCAAGUGCUAAGCUAACGGAAUGGGUCAAGUCAAUCACAUCAUUCUCUAAUGAUGUGAUCCCGUUAAUCAAAUGACAACUCAUGUCUAUGGCUAGGAAACUUAACCAUCUUUGAUUCAACGAGCUAGUCAAGUAGAAGCAUACUAGUGACACUAUGUUUGUCUAUGUAUUCACACAUGUACUAAGUUUCCGGUUAAUACAAUUCUAGCAUGAAUAAUAAACAUUUAUCAUGAAAUAAGGAAAUAAAUAAUAACUUUAUUAUUGCCUCUAGGGCAUAUUUCGUUCACCAGGUUCCGCUGUUGGUUAUUGACCGGAGAGGUGUCUCGGUCAUGACUACAUAAUUCCCGAACCCUCAGGGUCGCACGCUUAACGUUCGUUGACGCUAGAGUAGUAUUGGGAUAUUUGAUGAGUGGUAACCAGAUGUUGUUUGGAGUCCCGGAUGAGAUGUCGGACGUCACGAGGAGUCUCGGAAUGGUCGAGAGGUAAAGAUUUAUAUAUGGGAAGUCAUAUUUUGGGUUCCCGAAAAAGAUGCGGUUUUUUUGAUAUUGUACUGGGAAGCUUCUAGAAGUGUGUGGAGGAUUCCGGAGGGGUCCAUAAGUCCACAAGUGGUUCCACCAUGACCCAAGGGCUAGGAUGGGCUGCGGGGAGGCGCCCUGGCCUUAUUGGGCUAGGCGCACCAAGUCCUCAAAAAUCCAUGUGGUUAGGGAAGGCAAAAAAGGAAGGAGUCCUAGUAGGAAUAGGAUUGGACUUGGAGUCCAAGUCCUCUCCCCCUUAGCUGCGCCCUAGGGCUUGGAGGGGCUGUUUACCACGCCCCUCCACCUAUAUAUAGAGGGGAGGGGGUGCCCCAAGAGAACACACCAAGCCCUUGGCGCCCCUCUCUCUCUCCCGUUACUCCGUAGUUCCACUGCCUCGUCCCGGCGACUCUUAGCGAAGCGCUGUCGGUGUUCCACCACCAUGAUACUUCUCCAACAUAUCUAUAAUUUUUGAUUGUUUCAUGCUAUUAUAUUAUCUCUUUUGGAUGUUUAAUGGGCUUUAUUAAACACUUUUAUAUUAUUUUUGGGACUAACCUAUUAACCCAGAGCCUAGUGCCAGUUCCUGUUUUUUCCUUGUUUCAGUGUUUUGAAGAAAAGGAAUAUCAAACGGAGUCGAAACGGAAUGAAACCUUCUGGAGAAGUUAUUUUUGGAAAGAAAGCAACCCGGGAGACUUGGAGUCCACGUCAAGAAAUAAACAAGGGAGGCAUGAGGCAAGGGGGCGCGCCCACCCCCUCUGGGCGCGCCCUCCACCCUCGUGGGCCCCUCGUGGCUCCCCUGGCGUAUUUCUUCCUCCUAUAUAUACCAAUAUACCCUAAAACCAUCGGGGGACAGAAUAGAUCGGGAGUUCCGCCGCCGCAAGCCUAUGUAGCCACCAAAAACCAAUCGGGACCCUGUUCCGGCACCCUGCCGGAGGGGGGAUCCCUCACCGGUGGCCAUCUUCAUCAUCCCGGCGCUCUCCAUGACGAGGAGGGAGUAGUUCACCCUCGGGGCUGAGGGUAUGUACCAGUAGCUAUGUGUUUGAUCUCUCUCUCUCGUGUUCUUGAUUUGGCACGAUCUUGAUGUAUCGCGAGCUUUGCUAUUAUAGUUGGAUCUUAUGUUGCUUAUCCCCCUCUACUCUCUUGUAAUGGAUUGAGUUUUCCCUUUGAGGUUAUCUUAUCGGAUUGAGUCUUUAAAGAUUUGAGAACACUUGAUGUAUGUCUUGCCGUGCAUAUCUGUGGUGACAAUGGGAUAUCACGUGAUUCACUUGAUGUAUGUUUUGGUGAUCAACUUGCGGGUUCCGCCCAUGAACCUAUGCAUAGGGGUUGGCACACGUUUUCGUCGUGAUUCUCCGGUAGAAACUUUUGGGCACUCUUUGAGGUUCUAUGUGUUGGUUGAAUAGAUGAAUCUGAGAUUGUGUGAUGCAUAUCGUAUAAUCAUACCCACGGAUACUUGAGGUGACAUUGGAGUAUCUAGGUGACAUUAGGGUUUUGGUUGAUUUGUAUCUUAAGGUGUUAUUCUAGUACGAACUCUAGGGCUGUUUGUGACACUUAUAGGAAUAGCCCAACGGAUUGAUUGGAAAGAAUAACUUUGAGGUGGUUUCGUACCCUACAAUAAUCUCUUCGUUUGUUCUCCGCUAUUAGUGACUUUGGAGUGACUCUUUGUUGCAUGUUGAGGGAUAGUUAUAUGAUCCAAUUAUGUUAUUAUUGUUGAGAGAACUUGCACUAGUGAAAGUAUGAACCCUAGGCCUUGUUUCCUAGCAUUGCAAUACCGUUUACGCUCACUUUUACCACUUGUUACCUUACUGUUUUUAUAUUUUCAGAUUACAAAACCUUUAUCUACCAUCCAUAUUGCACUUGUAUCACUAUCUCUUCGCCGAACUAGUGCACCUAUACAAUUUACCAUUGUAUUGGGUGUGUUGGGGACACAAGAGACUCUUUUUUAUUUGGUUGCAGGGUUGUUUGAGAGAGACCAUCUUCAUCCUACACCUCCCACGGAUUGAUAAACCUUAGGUCAUCCACUUGAGGGAAAUUUGCUACUGUCCUACAAACCUCUUCACUUGGAGGCCCAACAACGUCUACAAGAAGAAGGUUGCGUAGUAGACAUCAAGCUCUUUUCUGGCGUCGUUGCCGGGGAGGUGAGUGCUUGAAGGUAUAUCUUUAGAUCUUGCAAUCGAAUCUUUUAGUUUCUUGUUUUAUCACUAGUUUUGUCUAUAAAAGAAACUACAAAAAAUGGAAUUGAGUUUGCCUCAUACGCUUCAUCUUUUUAAUAUCUUUCGUGAGAAUGAUGGAAAGGAAAAUUGUGCUCAAGUGCUAGAAGAAGAAGUCUAUAGAAUGUUUGGCACUAAAUCUUUAAAUGAUGAGCAUGAUUGCAAUAUUGUUAGUAUGAAUUCUUUGAAUACCCAUAAUGCUAAUGAUAUGCAAAGCCACAAACUUGGGGAUGCUAUGUUUGAUGAAGAUGAUAUUUUUAGUGCCCCAAGUUUUGGUGAGAAUAUUUAUUAUGAUGAAAGCAUGCCUCCUAUUUAUGAUGAUUAUAUUGAUGAAAGUGGAUUUGGAGAGGUCAUGACUUUAUUUAGUGAUGAAUCCACUAUUUCGGAAGAGGUUCCAAUUGAGUAUGAGAACAAAGUUGUUAUCUAUGAUGAUUAUUGUGAUGACAUGUAUGCUAUAAAGAAUAAAGAUAAACAUGAAACUUGUCAUCAUGAUUUUAAUUUUUAAUUGGAUUAUGCUUCACAUGACAGUUAUUUUGUUGAGUUUGCUCCCACUACUAUUCCGAAUGAGAAAUUUUUUGCUUAUGUGAAGAGUAGUAAAUUUUCUAUGCAAGUAGAUCAUGAAAAGAAUGCUUUAGGUGCUGGUUUUAUUGUUGAUUCAUUCAUGAUGCUACUAAAAAUUAUUAUGAGGGAGGAACAUAUGCUUGUAGGAAUUGCAACAAUAUCAAGUUUCCUCUCUAUGUGCUUAAAAUCUUGAAGCUAUGCUUGUUUAACCUUCCUAUGCUAGUUGAUUCUUGUUCCCAUAAGUUGUUUGCUCACAAAAUCCCUAUGCAUAGGAAGUGGGUUAGGCUUAAAUGUGCUAGUAAUAUGCUUCAUGAUGCUCCCGUUAUGUUUAAAUUCUUAUCUUUUAUGUGAGCAUCAUUGUCAUCAUCAUGCCUAGCUAGAAAGGCAUUAAAGAAAAGCGCUUGUUGGGAGACAACCCAAUAUUUAUACCCUACAAUAAUCUCUUCGUUUGUUCUCUGCUAUUAGUGACUUUGGAGUGACUCUUUGUUGCAUGUUGAGGGAUAGUUAUAUGAUCCAAUUAUGUUAUUAUUGUUGAGAGAACUUGCACUAGUGAAAGUAUGAACCCUAGGCCUUAUUUCCUAGCAUUGCAAUACCGUUUACGCUCACUUUUACCACUUGUUACCUUGCUGUUUUUAUAUUUUCAGAUUACAAAACCUUUAUCUACCAUCCAUAUUGCACUUGUAUCACUAUCUCUUCGCCGAACUAGUGCACCUAUACAAUUUACCAUUGUAUUGGGUGUGUUGGGGACACAAAAGACUCUUUUUUAUUUGGUUGCAGGGUUGUUUGAGAGAGACCAUCUUCAUCCUACACCUCCCACGGAUUGAUAAACCUUAGGUCAUCCACUUGACGGAAAUUUGUUACUGUCCUACAAACCUCUGCACUUGGAGGCCCAACAACGUCUACAAGAAGAAGGUUGCGUAGUAGACAUCACACCACCAUGCCGUCUUGUUGGUUGUGAUCCCAUCUACUUCUCCUCUCCCGCUUGCUGGAUCAAGAAGGAGGAGACGUCAUCGAGCCGCACGUGUGCUAAACUCAGAGGUGCCGUCCGUUCGACACUAGAUCGGUUGGAUCGUGAUCGGAUCGCGAAGAGUACGACUACAUCAACCGCGUGAUAAACGCUUCCGCUUAACAGUCUACGAGGGUACGUAGACACACUCUCCCCUUUCGUUGCUAUGCAUCUCCUAGAUAGAUCUUGCGUGAGCGUAGGAAAUUUUUGAAAUUGCAUGCUACAUUUCCCAACAUUUACCACAGACCUACGGGUCCGUAGGCAGUAGCUAGAUGGCUUCUUCUCUCUUUUUGAUCUUCAAUACAAUGUUCUCCUCGAUGUUCUUGAAGAUCUAUUUGAUGUAGUGACUUUUUGCGGUGUGUUUGUCGGGAUCCGAUGAAUUGUGAGUUUAUGAUCAGGUCUAUCCAUGAAUAUUAUUUGGGUUUUUUCUGAACUCUUUUAUGCAUGAUUAUUAUAGCCUCGUAUUUAUUCUCUGAAACUUUGGUUUGGUUUAGCCAACUAGAUUGAGGGCCUGUUCGGUACAAAGGAUUUUCACAGGAAAGUCCAAAGGAACCGAUUCCUGUGGAAAAUUUCCCUAGCAUGCGUUCUGGAUAGAGGAAACAUGAACAGUGAACCAAAGGAAUUUUUCUCCGUCAGCGCUGAUUUCACAGGAAAGUAAAAAUCCACCCCAAGCUCAUCUUCCGGGCGGAAGACCGAGGCAAGCGCUGUUGAGAACGUGAGCAGGCUGACAGUUGCACUGUAUGUCUAGAUAAAAAAUUACUACUACGUGUACUAGCGGUCGGAGACGAAGGCAGCUGGUGUUCAUUGCCGAAUAGAUCAUGCAUCAGUCAUCAUUCACGUCAGAUGUAUUAGGCUAGUUUGCUGAGUUUUCCCUGCGGUCACCCGAAUACUUUUUUUCAGGCUUUCCUUUGUUUUCUAGAUCCAAUGAUUUGCUCUAGUCUUCCUUUUCCAUUACUACGUUUUCACAAAUUCCUAUGUUUUAGGACCCUUUGUUUCAAACAUGGCCUGAUUUUUCUUGCAAUGGGAAGAGGUACUUUGUGAUGGGUUUGAUUUUGCGGUGCUCAAUCUCAGUGACAGACAGAGACAUGACACGCACGUAUCGUUGCCAUUAAGGAUAAAAAGGUGGGGUUUAUUCCUACAUGAAUAGAUCUUGUCUAUAUCAUGUCAUCGUUCUUAUUGCAUUACUCUGUUUUUUCAUGAACUUAAUACACUAGAUGCAUGUUGGAUAGCGGUCGAUGUGUGGAGUAAUAGUAGUAGAUGUAGGCAGGAGUCGGUCUACUAAUCUUGGACGUGAUGACUACAUACAUGAUCAUUGCCUUGGAUAUCGUCACUAUUCGCUUUUCUGUCAAUUGCGCAACAGUAAUUUAUUUAUCCACCGUAUGUUAUUUUUUCGAGAGAUGUCUCUAGUGAAAUCUACGGCCCCCGGGUUUAUUGCCUACCAUAUUAAACUAAAAAUAUCUUCCUGCACUUUUUCUUUAUUUAUUUUAUUUUGUGUUUUUGCAAGAUCUAUUUAUCAAAUCUCAUACAAGUUUGUCUAUCUCAAUAUCGAGGAGGGAUUGACAACCCCUCUUACGCGUUGGGUUGCAAGUUCUUGUUAUUUGUGUGUAUGUGUUGUUUACAUAGUGUUGCUUGGUUCUCCUACUGGAUUGAUAACCUUGGUUUCAUAACUGAGGGAAAUACUUACCGUUGCUGUGCAACAUCAUCCUCUCCUCUUCGGGGAAUUACCAACGCAGAUACAAGCAAUCAUACACUCACAGACGAUUCACUAUGGAUUGGUCAUAGCAAACACUCUCCCACCACUCACUACCCAGAUUUUCACCGAUGGGCUACUCUUUCACUAAUUUUCAACUAUAAAUUAACAUAUUCAUCUGUAACCAUUAUUCCGUGAAGUCUGUCCAUAGGUGUAGCAUCUCUGAUAAAAACACACACUCCAUUGUUGUUUCCCCCACACGCAACCAACAAGCAUGUAAAUAAUUUUCACAACUUAAAAAAACUAUCACGUAAAAAAACAGGUACAACCCUAAGAACAUAAGCGGCGCAGCAAAGCACACUGCUCUUCUAGUAUAACUCCAUAUCUUAUCUCCCAUUCUUCCCACUCACCCCGACCAUGCCAUGAUUCUUGCAGUUUUCUGAUAUCUUAAUGUCAUCUCAGAUGGCUUUCAAAGUUGCAUCUAUUUAUCGCUAUUUUCUCCUUCAACAUGUGCCAGCUUUUCGUGUGUCCAACGGUAAGCCAUACGACACUUUCUAGGCCCCCGCCAAAAAAAAGACACUGUCUAGCUCAUCAGGGCACAACUUAAAAAGAUCAAUUAAAUUAUGUUCCGGCUCUUAUAAAAUCAUACUCCUUUCAAUCUGAAUUAAUUGAUACAGGCUCUACACUACGCAGCCCGAAUUAAUUGACGUGGCCUCUAUACAAUACGCAGGCUGUGAAUUCGGAUGAAGGGAGUAGCACGAGAGAGUGAUUUCCACUUGUGGUAAGAGAAGCACGUACGUACGGCAUGUGCAUAUAAUAUUUUAUCAGCCCUAAUGAACGAACACCCAAGAAUAGGAUAAUAUGAAAUCUUGCAAUGAAUCUUGGACACGUCGAUCAAACAGAAACUAGAGCUUUGAAAAAUUAAGAAACAGUAUAAUAGAGCUAGCUACGAGGCUUCUCAGCGAUUUGACAUUCUCAGCCAUUGGAUCACUACCACGUACGCUCGGGAUUAGCUCGGUCAUCACACAGGUCAUUCACGACAGUUAUUUACCCCUCGACCUGCGCGGGCCGUCCAAGGCACCGUUAUCGGGCUGCUGCUCCUCAGAACGAGUUAGACGAGUGGUGAUUGAUCGGGCCGCAUAGGUUGUAGGCCCAGAGGGCCCUGUCCAACAUGCGCAACUUGUCCAGUCCGUGAAUGCACGCAGCUUCCUGAUACGUACCCGUUCAUUGUCGCGAGAGUAAACAAAAAAAGCUCGUUCAUCCCAAAUAUGUCCAGUCCGUGAAUGCACGCAGCUUCCUGAUACGUACCCGUUCAUUGUCGCGAGAGUAAACAAAAAAAGCUCGUUCAUCCCAAAUAUUUCUUCCCAGUUCGUCUGCGCUACUCCCAGUCUCCCUGUUCGUUUGCGCUGCGCCGCCGCCGUCCCGAGUCCCGGCGGCAAGCUUCUACUGCACAUGCGCGUAGGAGACGACAUCGGUCCCGUCUACUCUUCUUCCGCAUGCCCCACGGUGAGGCCCGUCUUUCCCAUGUCGUGCCCUGAUGUAUUCCUCUGCGGCGGCCGCACGCUCCCCAUCAGUCCUUCGGGUGUGUAGGCCACCAUGUUGUUGGAGCUGUACCAUCAAACCAUGACCGCGUCCUUUCCCCUUCCAUAACUAAAACUUAUGCUUUGAAACCUCUCCCGUUCUCCCUGAUAUAUUAUGUUGAUCCUUCCUCCCUUCUGUGUCAUUUCAUUUCACAUCUCCCGCUGUUCGUCAGACAUACCAGUUACUUGGUUUAAUUCUUGCUAACCACCCUAUAAUUCUCCUACAUGUCUUCAUAUCAACAUAACUGAAUUACUAUUACUCCUUACAUGGUUACAGUGCUCGUUCAUUGGAAUUCCUAUGUUGGAAUUUGUCAGGGGGUGUGUGUCACACCCAAUUGCAAACAUGGCCGCUGGACAGGUGCGACUAUCCACAAAUUUUCUGCAUUCUAUGCAAUUUGUUUGAUUUUUAUUCCAGCCGUGCACAUCCAUUUUGCCUGGUCCCUUUCAUUUUCUUUAUUUCUGAUUACAUAUAGUCUAUCUGUGGCAUGAUCUGGACCUACGCAGAUUGGUUUCUUUGUUGGCUUUCUUCUUUCCUGUGCUACUGCUACCAACACUUUAAAAUCGUUCUAGCAAAAAAAAUCAUUAGUCUAAAAUGAGUAGGAAUGGGUAGAAUAUCCCUGAUAUAUGAAUCACGAUGAACAUCAUUUGCAGCUCAUGUAUUCUUUUAUUCCAAAUCAUAUGGGAACAAAGUCCCAUAGCCAAAUGCUGAUAAUUUCAUGUCUUGUUUAAUUCUUUCUGGCCAUAGACCAUUAGAAUUUGAAGUGUGUAAUCUUAAUGCGGGAUAUCGUUGAAUGACACAUUUGUUAUCUAUACCGUCACAUAUAUUUUGACUUCAUUUGCUCCCUAUAUCUAUAAAUUCUCAAUAUGGGCGGGCGCAGCAACGCGCGUCUUCACGAUCUAGUGAAAACAAGAAAACAGAAGCUAUGGCGCGUGGCCCGCCGACCACCGCAUAUCGCCUGGCCUGCAUCCUACUUGUACAUUUCUACCUUUUCUUUGCAUCGUGAGUAACGUCGGCAUUGGACUUCACCGUCACACUACCCCACCCAAUCUCUUUCCUCAACCUGUCUUUACACUUGUGCUGGUCUCCUACUUGGCCUUCGGCACCGGCAUCCGCAUGUGUUGGAUCGAAUCAGCAGCUCGUGAUAUGGGUGAGCGAUCGAGCUUCGCGAAUCUACUAAUUUCUACGUGGCGGCCAUGUACGAGCACCGCCGCGCGACGUGUCCCGUUGCUUCUGCCUAUAAAUGCCGCCUGCUCGAAUCACCUUUCCAACACAAGCAGUUGAGCAAUAGCUAGCAGUGAGAUUUGGUCCUUCCGAUCGAGUGAUUUCAGUUGGUGUUUGUUGGUGAGAGAGAAGAGAAGAGAAGAGAAGAUGGCCUCCAACCAGAACCAGGCGAGCUACGCGGCCGGCGAGACCAAGGCCCGCACCGAGGUAACCGCCGUCUCCCGCAGAGCCUACCACUUCAUCGUGCAUUCCUCCUGCCGCGCAUGCGGCGUUGCUCAGUGAACUGAAAUGAUCUCUUGCUUGUGCAGGAGAAGACCGGGCAGAUGAUGGACAAGGCGGGGCAGGCCACGGAGGCCACGAAGCAGAAGGCCGGCGAGACGGCCGAGGCCACCAAGCAGAAGGCCGGCGAGGCCAAGGACAAGACGGCCCAAACGGCGCAGGCCGCCAAGGACCGCGCCGUCGAGAGCAAGGACCAGACCGGCAGCUUCCUCGGCGAGAAGACGGAGGCGGCCAAGCAGAAGGCCGCCGAGACGGCCGAGGCGGCCAAGCAGAAGACGUCGGAGACGGCGCAGUACGCGCAGGAGAGGUCCUCUGACGCGGCGCAGUACACCAAGGAGUCCGCCAUCGCCGGCAAGGACAAGACCGGCAGCGUGCUCCAGCAGGCCGGCGAGACGGUGGUGAACGCCGUGGUGGGCGCCAAGGACGCCGUGGCGAACACGCUGGGCAUGGGCGGCGACAACACCAACACCGCCAAGGACACCACCACCGAGAAGAUCACCAGGGAUCACUAGACGCAUACAUACGUCCAGUCUUCCUAAUUUGCUUCCUUUACUCGUUUGGUCGUUCGCGGGCCUUUUACAUAUUUGUAUGUUUCCCUCUUGUGAUUUCCGCUCAUUUAGGGUAAGUUUGCCUUCGAUUUGAUGUUGAUGUACUCGUGUCCGGUUCUGUAAUGAGUUACUUAUAAUACUUUGGUGUAAAUGGAUAACGAGGACAGUCGAAGGUGCUUCAAUCCGUUGGUUGUCAGAAGCUUUCUUCACUUCUUAUCUUUCUUUUUUUUGGAACGGGAAAGGCACUCUCAAGGCGCCAAAU